rnacentral:lncRNA from 1 species
GUGAUCAGUCUAACGAGUCAAAUGAAUCUAACGAAGGUAAAGCCAGCGAAAACGCUGCAACCGUAACCAAAAUGAAGCUUGUAGACAUUGAGAAACGACCUCCUAGAGUACCUCGCCCGCCUCCAAGAUCAGCUGGAGGUGGUAAAAGUACUAACUUGCCUUCAGCAAGACCUCCUUUACCUGGUGGUGGUCCACCACCACCUCCUCCACCACCUGGCGGUGGACCGCCUCCUCCACCUGGCGGUGGACCACCUCCACCACCACCUCCUCCUGGAGCACUUGGAAGAGGAGCGGGAGGCGGGAACAAAGUUCACCGAGCUCCUGAGCUUGUUGAGUUUUAUCAAUCAUUGAUGAAACGUGAAUCGAAGAAAGAAGGUGCACCUUCUUUGAUCUCUUCAGGAACUGGUAAUUCUUCAGCAGCUAGGAACAAUAUGAUUGGGGAAAUCGAGAACCGAUCAACAUUCCUCUUAGCAGUAAGUUCACACUUUCAAUAUAAUGUUAAAUGCAAUUGGAUUUGAAACAAAGAAUCAAUUGUUUAAACUUGAUUACAGGUAAAAGCGGAUGUGGAGACACAAGGGGACUUUGUACAGUCGUUAGCAACUGAAGUCCGAGCUUCUUCUUUCACCGACAUAGAAGAUCUCUUGGCGUUCGUUAGCUGGCUAGAUGAAGAGCUCUCCUUCUUGGUCAUUAACUCCUCUUUUCAACAUUACUUUCUAACCGCUAUUUCGGUUUUUUUUUUAAAACUCACGGAUCAAUCUCUAUCGUUUUGUGUAGGUUGAUGAAAGGGCAGUUCUUAAACACUUUGACUGGCCAGAAGGUAAAGCUGAUGCGCUACGAGAAGCAGCUUUUGAAUAUCAAGAUCUUAUGAAACUGGAGAAGCAAGUUACGUCCUUUGUUGAUGAUCCUAAUCUCUCUUGUGAACCUGCUUUGAAGAAGAUGUACAAGUUGCUAGAGAAGUAAGUAAAAUGUCAAUCCGAAAAACACACACUAAAUCUUUCCUUACUAAUGUUCCAUUUCUGUUUCUUUCACAGGGUUGAACAAAGUGUAUACGCGCUUUUACGUACGAGAGACAUGGCGAUUUCACGAUAUAAAGAAUUCGGGAUUCCAGUUGAUUGGUUAUCUGAUACUGGCGUCGUAGGAAAGGUAAAACACAUUUGUUCUUUCUGAUCCCCUUCCAUUUAUCUUUUUAUCUGGAAAACAAUCUUGAAAAUGCUCUGUUUGGUUUUUGUUUCAUUUUCAUCACAACACAGAUCAAGCUUUCGUCAGUCCAGCUCGCGAAGAAGUACAUGAAACGAGUAGCUUAUGAGCUAGAUUCAGUGAGCGGAUCCGAUAAAGAUCCGAACAGAGAGUUCUUGCUUCUCCAAGGUGUUCGUUUCGCGUUUAGAGUCCAUCAGGUAAAAUAAAAACAAGAAACAUAAGAAACCUAAAAUGACCAAAAUUUCUCAGUUGUUUGAAUAUAUAACUGAAUAUGUUUGUUUUGUUAUGUAUAGUUUGCUGGAGGGUUUGAUGCAGAGAGCAUGAAAGCAUUUGAGGAACUUAGAAGCAGAGCCAAAACUGAAAGUGGAGACAAUAAUAAUAAUAAUAAUAAUAAUAGCAAUGAAGAAGAAUCUGUAAACUGAGUUUUAUUACUUCUCUCUGUAUCAUUUGUAUCACAUACUUCAUUUAUAGUACAGUGAAAUUUAUAGAUUCUUGUAAAAAGAAAUACAACAUUUUUCUUUGACAAAAAAAAAAGAAAUACAAUUUUUUUGUGUGUAGGUUUGCAAUGAUCUUUAUUUACUAUAUAGUAGUAUUAGAUAAUGAAUUGGCAAUAAAUUUGUAAUCUCCCAAACUACUGAAGAAAAGAUAAAAUAAUUGUGGUUUGUCUUAAAAGUCACAUGUUUCAUAUCAUGUGCAGCCAUGCAAAGUAUCUCCCGAAUCUUCUUCACUCUUUAAUGUUUUACAGUAUUUUGUUUAUAAACUUUAAAUCAGUUUCAUUGAAUUUAUCACAAUAUUUUAGGUUAUUUUUUUCCAUGUUUUAGUAAAGUGCAAAAUAAAAAUAAUAAUGGUUCACUAGAUUUACAGCAUAUAACAACAAAAGGACUAGCUCUAUUUUUUCUUUUGUAAUUUUAUGCAAUCGUAUAAAAGAAAUAAUAUUCAUGUUUUUUAAGUUUUGGAAAUUAAGUAUUUCUGCCACCACCUAACAAACAGGGUCCAUUUCUUGGGUAUAGUACUUUUCACGUCCAAACAAGAUCUACAUUUAUUAUAAUUAUUGUAUUCGUAUAACAUUAUCAUCAUAAUAAUGAUUUAUAUCAUCCGACCCUCUUAUAAUAAAUGAAAUAAAUUCACGGAUCUAAGACUAAGAUUACAAUCACUAAUAGUCUAAUAUAACAUUUUUCGAUUACUCCAACAUCAAAAUCAACUCUUUUUUUUAAUAUUAUCAUACUCCUCUAUCAAGAACAAAAACUAAAAAAAAAAGUAUAACACAAACCGUAAACACGAUUACUAAUAUUUAAUGUUUAAAAUUAUCAAUCGAAUCAAUGAUUAAAAAAUCAAAUAAAGUUAAAAGUAAAAAGAACAAAGAAACAAAACAAAAACACAUUUAGACAGCUAGAGUUUUAUUACAAAAGCCAAAGCUUUAUUUUUGAUACCCCCCAAAAACAGAUAUCUUUCAGUCUUCACGUUGCAAUAUACUCACAUUUCGACCACAUACUGACAAAAACUCCGUAUAUAUAUACGUAUAAAAAUACGGUCUUCUUCUUCUUCUUCAUCUCUUACAAACACAGACACAAAAAUCACAAAACCCUUCUCACUCUCUCUCAAUGUUUCCUCUCAUCUUCUUCCUCUGUUCUUUCCUCUCUCUUUUCCUCCUCCCGCCGUCAAAUAUCGCCGCCGUGAGUAACCACAACAAAUACCUAAAGCUUCCACUACUACGCAAAUCUCCGUUUCCUUCUCCAACACAAGCUCUAGCUUUAGACACUCGCCGUCUCCAUUUUCUCUCUCUCCGUAGAAAACCAAUCCCAUUCGUCAAAUCUCCGGUGGUCUCCGGCGCAGCUUCCGGGUCGGGUCAAUACUUUGUGGAUCUUCGUAUCGGACAACCGCCUCAAUCGUUACUUCUGAUCGCCGACACAGGAAGCGAUCUCGUUUGGGUUAAAUGUUCAGCUUGCCGGAACUGUUCUCAUCAUUCUCCGGCCACCGUCUUCUUCCCUCGCCACUCCUCAACAUUCUCUCCCGCCCAUUGCUACGACCCGGUUUGUCGUUUAGUACCUAAACCGGAUCGAGCUCCGAUAUGUAACCAUACCCGGAUCCAUUCCACGUGUCAUUACGAGUAUGGUUACGCUGACGGUUCAUUAACUUCCGGUUUAUUCGCUAGAGAAACGACGUCGUUGAAAACAAGCUCUGGUAAAGAAGCGAGGUUAAAAAGCGUUGCUUUUGGAUGCGGGUUUCGGAUCUCGGGUCAAUCCGUAUCAGGUACGAGUUUCAAUGGAGCCAAUGGAGUAAUGGGCUUGGGCCGUGGGCCUAUUUCUUUUGCUUCUCAGUUGGGCCGUCGUUUUGGUAACAAGUUUUCUUAUUGCUUAAUGGAUUACACACUCUCUCCGCCGCCGACGAGUUAUCUCAUCAUCGGUAACGGCGGCGACGGCAUUUCAAAGCUUUUCUUCACUCCGUUGCUCACGAAUCCGUUAUCGCCAACUUUUUACUACGUUAAAUUAAAAUCUGUUUUCGUUAACGGUGCGAAAUUACGAAUCGAUCCUUCAAUUUGGGAAAUCGAUGAUUCAGGUAACGGCGGAACCGUCGUGGAUUCCGGCACAACCUUAGCGUUUUUAGCUGAACCGGCGUAUCGAUCGGUUAUCGCCGCCGUGAGACGACGGGUAAAGCUCCCUAUCGCUGAUGCGCUGACUCCGGGGUUUGAUUUAUGCGUUAACGUCUCCGGCGUCACGAAACCGGAAAAGAUAUUACCGAGGUUGAAAUUUGAAUUCUCCGGUGGUGCUGUGUUUGUUCCGCCGCCGAGGAAUUACUUUAUUGAGACGGAGGAGCAGAUUCAGUGUCUGGCGAUUCAAUCGGUGGAUCCGAAAGUUGGAUUUUCAGUGAUUGGGAAUUUGAUGCAACAAGGUUUCUUGUUUGAAUUCGAUAGAGAUAGAUCACGGUUAGGUUUUUCUCGUCGUGGUUGUGCUCUGCCGUGAAGGAUUUUACACUGGAAUAUUCCUUUUCGAUUCGCAUAAAGAUUCUUUUUUUUUUUGGAAGUACGAAACGUAGGUGACGGUUCACUGUUACCGAAAAUAGAAAUAAAAUAAUCUUUUUGGAGUUUGUAUAAUUUCGAUUAAAAAAAUAGAAAUACAUAUAUAAUACAUUAUAUAGAUUUUAUUCUAAUUUUUAUGUGAUGUUUUUGUUAAAUGCUUAGAUAUUACUUAUUUUUAUAAGGAUAAAAUUUGUAAUAUGAAUUGAAAUUAAUACUGAAAGUGCAAUGUAUAAAUAAUAAUAAAAAAAAUAAAAAGGACUUUUUAUUAAAAAUUAGAAGGAUAAUAUUUCAUUGUUACAAGAUUGUUUUUCUUUUUCCAUGUAAAACUCAAUACUAAUAUCUCUCUAGUGAUAAGCUAUAUAGAUCAAUACUAUGAGUAUGUAUUAAACUAUAGUUUAGGUGUCGAUUAAUUUGAUCACGACUUCACGAGUGUCAUUGUGUCAACUUUAAAUCUGAGUUUAUAUUAUAUAGGUUUUUGUUUACAUCUCUGUGACUCAAUGGAUCUCUUUACAAUUCUUGAAAAUGUAAACAAUCUAGUGAAAGUUAGUAAACAGUACACAUAUUGGUGAGCCGAAUAUGAUAUAAGCCUAAAAUGACUACGUAGCCCAAAAUAACUUAGUAGCCCAAAAUGCCUAUAAUCACUUUUAUCUAUUACAAAUCCACAAGGAACGUCAAGUCCAACUAAAAGCCUUAUUAAACAUGUUCAACUUAAUUCUCUCAACUUCUAAUUGGUUUAAAGUUGCAAGAGUGUGUUAUGAUCCUAUAUAAUUAGAAAUAUUAAAUAACCAAACGAAAAUAAUAAUUAAGCAACCUAAUCUUUCCAAAAGAAAUCUAUUACACAACCUUAAGCAAAAUAAUUAAGUAACUAAUCCCUUUUCCAUAAAAAACAUUAUAAAAAAAAAAUAUAUGAUUACUUGAUAAAACAUAAAAGAUAUAAAUUUGAUUUUUAAAAACAUAGAAAGAUAUAUCGCCAUAAAUGGUAAUAUUUUGUCAAUACUUUCUCCAUCACGUUGAAGUUUCAUUUUAUGUUAAAAUAUUCAUGAAUAAAACGUAUUCUUAUAAUAGAAAUUUUUUUAUUACAUGUUUAUGUUUUACACAAACCGAUUUUGGAUCGUAGAUCCAUAAUAAUUUUAUUUAAAUCACUUUAUCCUGCACAAAAUACAGGUUGUUAUUGUAGUUAUUCUUGUAUUCAAGAUAUCUUGCCUCUGUAUAAUAUUAAACUAAUUAAAUAACGGUUACUCAAAUGAUUUUGUGCCGAUAUUAGAGCAUUACUAUCCAUUGUUUAAGGUUGAUAUAGAGUGAUACACGCGUAGAUGAAUACAAGUUAUUCGAAAGCUAAAUGUUACAGAUAAAUUAUCUAUGUUGUUGUGAUAUAUGUAGCUCAAGUAACAUGUCUAUAUAAAAUUAUUUUUAUUUGUGAAAAACACUAUGUUAAUCAUAUAUAUGAAAGUUGGUCAACUCUCUCCCACAACUUGACACAUCAGCACAUGAGAGUUUGUCACCUAAACUUUUUAAAAUAAGUAAUACAUAAUUAAUAAUUAAUUCAACAUAUGAACCUAUCAUAAGUCAGAACUUCAAUCAUCAUUCUUUCUAAGUUUCUUAAUUCAAUAUAUCCUCUUUUAUUUUUUAGGCAUUUAGGUAGAGAAUAUGAUGAGUACAUUUUCCGGAUGUAAUCCUUUCUUUAAUGGAUUUCUGAGAAAUGUUUAUAUAUGAGACUCAGAAAUUUUUUUAGCUUGUAUGUUUCAUUAGUUACGUUAGAUUAAGUGAUUAUCUUAAAACGUAUUACACUACGUGAAACACAUGUGAAACGUGUUUUAUCUACAAACAAAUGUUUAAGUUUAUCUUUAUGAUAUAACUUAAACACAUCAUCUAGAGAGUUGGAACCGGUUUUAAAAUUAACACCAAUAAUGUUUUAGGCGAUGAACUAUCAUAAAGCUUCUAAACAAAUAACUUUAUGUUCUUUUUUUUUUUUCAUGUUUGUCCUCUCUUGCUGUUGCAAGGAAUUUUCAAUUAAAAUAAAAUCCAAUUUUUAUAUUACCUAUCAUUGCAUAUAGUAUUUUUGAUAUAUUGUUAAAACUGCUAACCAUCCAUAAGAAAAUAUAUAUAUGAAAAAAGAAAUAAAAAUAUGAAAAAAAUAAAUAGCAAACAUUUGAAAAACAAUAGUUAUUAUUAAAUACAAUUAUACAAAAUAACAAAAGAGGAGAACAAAACGAAUGUUAGAAACAAAAUCAAAUUUAUAAAAAUAUGCAAGAGUAAGCUAAAAUGAUGUUCUCCUAUUAUUUUUUACAACUCUCAAUUAAAAAAAGCUACUGGAAAAGCAGAUUUUAUUACAUCCAUUAUAUUAUUAAAAAAGAACAAAAUGAUAUUUUUUGCCAAAACAUUUGUGAAAAUAACAAACAAUUAUAAAAAAAUACAUAUAAAAAAUUGGGAAAAAAAUGGAAAAAAAUUAUGAAACUAGAUUUAUAUCUAAUCAAAAAUUCGUUAAAGUUAAACAAUUAGGAUUACAACAAAAGUAAAACAAAAAUUUGAUAUAGAAAUGAGAAUUUUUAUUCGACAAUAUUAACCCAUAUGACAGACAUAAGACACGAAUGAAAAAAAAAAAAUCACAAAAAUAAAUACUCAAUAUAUAUGUACACUUAACAAUACCAAACAAAAAGUAUAUAUAAUACACCUACAAAUUAGAUUCGGAAUAAAGCCAAGUGGUUCAACUAUGGAUUAAGUGUGGAGCGGUUCAAAUACUAACGAAAAUAUAUACAUAUUCAUAUAUAUGUAAUUUCUUUUGUUACUAUUUAAACAGUACCAAAGCAUGGGGUUUCAUCACCACCUAAAUUACCAACCAUUUAAAAAGUUAGAGUUUUCUAAACAAUAAUAAUAAAUAAUCAUUAUAUGUUAGACAUCAUUACAAUUUAAUCCUCAAAAUAUAAAGAAUGAGAACCAACAUCCAACAUACUCAAAGCUUCUACGUAGGAGUAAAAAUUAACAAACAAUAUAUAGUGGUUAAUAAAAAAUAUAUAGUUUUCAUCCUUCAUAAUAUAAUCUCUCUUAUAAAAAUAACAUUUUUAAAAAAGGAUGAUAAACUAAAUAUAUAAAAAAAAUUUAAGGAAAAUCAACAACAAAAUUCCGCGCGUACACUCAUCUAGUUAAGUUUAAUUAAUGAAUAUGAUAUGUAAAUUCUAAGACAUAAAAUGAAUGGAGUAAGCAUGGCGUCAUGAUGAUCAAAGCCCUAAAAGAGCACCCACCACUCGGGAUAAUGUUCACAAAUCGUAACCAAACUUUUUUCUAUUAAAGAAUUUAUAUUCACUUUAAAUAACCUUAAAAUAUUAAGAAAGUGCAAACACACUCAUAUAUGUGUGUAUAUUAUAUAUGUAAAAGUGUGACAUAAGAAGACUACAAAUGGCCACAAAUGUGAAAAAAGGAAACGCAAAGGGACCAGAGACAACCCAUGCGUGUGACCACAAAGUGAUGCUUACUUAUUUCUUAUAUGCUUACACAUAUUUGUUUAUUCAUAAUCCAGAAAAUCCAUAAUAUAUAUGCAUAAAGAUCACAUACACACACAUGGGCAAGCACUUCCAUAUACAAAGAAACUAAUUUAUACUACUAUAUUUCAUAUUUGCUUCCAUAAGACCUACCUCAUCACACGUCACCGUUUCAUAUUUGCAAGAUAGCCUCUUCAACCUUCCCAACAUUUCGUGCACUAAUAAUGUUCGAAUUAAACAAAAAAAAAAUUAUAAGAAUAAUGUUCGAAUUAUCGACAUUUUUUCGGAUGAGACGACUAAACAAAAGAAUGUGCAUCCUUUUUUCUUAUGGAUGAUGAAUGACAUAUUUAUAUGGUGUUUAAUACCGGGUGGUAAACUUCUAAUGAUUAAUUGAGUUAUGGUCGAACUGAGUUACCGAUUAAUUAAUAUUGUCUUUAUUUAUUUCAUUCACCAUUAUAUAUAAAAAUGAAUUUUAGUUAGUGACUGUGAAGUUAUGAAUUGCACCAUAACGUAGAACAAGGUAAAUUAAUCUCACGUUUAUAUGUUACAGUUUUCUAUGUUAAAAGGAGAAGACAUUUAUAUAAAUACAUUUUAGAACAAUUAAACCAGCAGAAUAUAAUGCAAGAAUCUUCAAUCAUACGGUAGUUUAUUGUAAGCUUCUUCUCACAUAACAAACUGAUUGAGCUAGCUAAUAUUAUUGCUAAUCGUUUGGUUUUGAUUGAUUUAAACAUGAUGAUUGAUGAUAAUGGAUUAAUAAUUCAUACAUUAGUUCACAGUUCAUGAUGUACAUAUGUGCCACUUCAUGGAGAUUGGGUUUUCAUACGCCAAUAAGAUAAGUAACUUCAGGCUUAUAUUUGUAGAACUUUGUGAAAAUGAUAUUUAGAUAUUUAUUAUAUAUAUAUUACAAAAUCUACGUUCACCUAAUUUUAUAAUGAGUAAGUAAUUAAAUAUUGAUAAUCUUAUAGCUAGUUACCAGAGUGAAAUAAGAGAAUCUGAUCUUUGUUUUAAUAUAUAUCCUAAAAAUCUGUCUGAACUCCGAUUUUUUUUAAAAAUAAAGAAUUAUAACAAAAUUAAAGAAUUAGAACAAAAAAGAAUUGUCGACACUUUGUUUUCUAUUAUACCGUUUUAGCUCUGCCUAAAUUACAUAAAUCUUGCCAAAAUUAAAUCUCUUAGCGAGAUUGUUAGGCUACACUUGUGGAUUCCUCUGGUUCAUGGAGUUCGACCUAAUUACUUCCAACCAUGGGAUACAAAUAUUAGCCGGUGGGAGACACACACACAAAAUUAAAUGAAACCUAAAAACGAAAGAACGCUUUUGUAAUAAAUCAUGAUCCAAUGCACACACUUAAAGACCUUUGCACACAUAUAUGUAUGUAUUUACACAUACACAUGUAAUGAUGUGGUCGUGAAGACCUUUGCACAAAUCUGUUGUGUGUAGUCACAUAUUCACGUGUAAAAGGACAACUUCUGGUUCUGUACAUAUAUAUAAUCGUCAUAAAUAGAUAUAAAUGGAUGACUACUGAUAGUUUUUUUUGUUGUUAAAGAAACUUUUUUUUUUGUUAAAGAAACCUAGUGAUAAUAACUCAGGGAUUCCCUAAUAACUCAACCAGUUAUUGCAGGUGUAAAGCGUCAAUAAAUAUUCGAAUUCGAGUUCAGUUUGUUACUACUUACUACGAUCAAUAUAGGGUGAUUGGUGCAUGACAUGUUAAUUUAGACAGAUUAAGGUGUCUAAAGGUCCCUUAAUCUCCUAAUUAAAAAAACGUAUUAUGAUAUAUGUUUUAAGUUCCAUUCAAACGGGUCGACAGUAUAUAUAAGCCUAGUUAAUGCUUAUGAAACGAGUUUAUAACCUAUGAAAUUCUUUAGUCGAUCUUAUGGGAUUCAAUAUAUCAAAACAGCCCCAAUUUUAAUUUUUCAUUGGUUAUUGCAAUUUGCAAGUAAUAUGAAGGAUCACAAGUUUUAUAAUCGUGAAUUUCAUUUAGUGAUUGAAAAGGAAGUAAAACUUACAUUUUUGUAAAAAAUUAAAUUUAGUUGGGGUACAAAUUACAAUGUUUUCAACUUAUAUAAGAGUACAUUUCACUUCGUAAUUGUUUCUCAAUAAUUUCUCCAUAUAAGUUUCAUUCAAUUUCGCUGAUUUAUUUUGUUAUACAAAUUUUUUUACCACACUAGUUUUUUUUUUUUUAGUUACAGCCAAAGUAACGAACUGAUUUGGUUUUAAAUGAGCCAUGCUUGUCAAGAUGAAAAUGAUUUUAGCUUUUUCAAAGGCCUUUUGAACAUGAACACUGACUUUAUUUUAAAGGUAAUGAUUAUAGGUUUCUUCCAACAAUGGUUUCCUAUCAUAUGAUUCUUCACCAUAAAAUUAUUACAUUUUAUGGACCAACAGUUAAGCACAUACUCGCUAAAGGGUAUGGUCUCGUGACAAUAUUAAUAUAAUAUAUUGAAAAAUGUAUUUUUGUUAUAUAGUAUUGGAUACCGUGAAACAUUAUCAGGUUAUGUCCAUAGUCAUUAGAAACUAGUAUUAUUAUUGCUGCUUUUGAUAUGAUGUUUAUCACUUUUUCAGUGUAUAAAAUAUGGCUUCAUGAUAUAUAUACCUUUCGUAUACUUGAUUUUGAUGCAAUGUUCAUUCUUUUCGUAAAUACUAGUAUUAAAAUUUAGUUAAGUCUUCUAGGUAAGUUAGUUAAAUCUAGUACGCUGUAUAGUUUAAAUAGUACUUCAAUCGAACAAUUUGUUUUAAUACAUCAUGUUUUUAUUGGUGUAUUAAACGGAGCAAUAUUCAUGCAUCUUGUAUUUUAAUUAAUUAAUACUAUUUUUAAAAAAUCAAUCAAAGCAUGAAUACUCAUGGAAAAAAAUCUAUGAUCAAGUCCUUAGUUGAGUGAUUUUCACAAUUUAAGGGUCGGAAAAAUAUUUUAUAACGUCUAUAUCAAUAUGUGAUCUGCUUUUAUACAAAAAAAAUAUAUAAUGGAUUAGUUAAAACAUGGUGGAGUCAAUUAUAUUAAAACAUUACUGAUAAAUAUGCUUUUUAACUCAAACAUAGCAAAUCAAAAAUAGUAAACCUUCACAUACAAAUAUUUAUACAUUUAUAAACGCAUGAAUAUACAUUUUUAUAAAUAUUAAAAGGUUUCUGAGUUUAAUUCAUGAUUAAUUAUAACUAAAGAUACUAAAAUUCAUAAGUAGAUUGAAGUAGCUCAAUUGAACAAAUCUCAGCAAAAUACAUAGUAUAUAUGAGAUGUAAAUUCGAUUGUUCAAAUGUCUUUUCAUUAGGACCUGUGUAAAAAGUUUUCGAGAGAAGAAUUAUAGCGAGGUUUGUUUCAAGUUUCAACAAGAAAAAACAGAAAAGAAUCAUGUAUAUAAAUCAAUCAAGUACUGAUAAUAUAGAAGUAUUAUUGGAAACAAACAAGAAGAGAAGUAAAUUCAAAGACAAAAUGAUUUAGAAUUCUUGGAGAAGGAAAAAGAAGAAGACAGCGUGGAGAAAGAGCCCAGAAUGUUGAACGUCGUGUGGGCUUCACUCUGCACCACCACCCCAAAACCCUAGUUCAUACCCUAUCCUAUAAUUUAUACUCAAAAUUUUCUCAUUUCUUCUAUUAUUUAUCACCAUUCAUAUGGAAGUAUAUAUUUAAUGAAGAAUUUUCGGAUCUAUAGAUCAUUAUAUGUAAAAUCAGUUUUUGAUAAAACAUGUGACAGUUUCACAAAAAUAGUUCAUCUUUCACAAAAAUAGUACUCGAAUCCGGUAGCAUUUUAGUAUCCUACUAUUUAGUUUUUCCACUCCUUUUCAUUAUAUAUAUAAUGAUAUAAGUCUUUUUACCUCUUUUUCAUAAGUCUUUUUAACUCUUUUUUUCUUUAAAAAUGAUUAUAUGCACAUCUACUUGAUAAACUGGCGGAUGGUAAACUUGAGUUAGGUUUGAGAAUUUUCACUAAUUAUUUUAGGAUUUGAAUCUUCUUUAGUAUGAGACAAUUAAGCUAACACACUCGAAGAUAUAUUCAGAUCAUAAUCAAAAUUUAUCCGUUGGAUAUGUAUGAAUAGAUUAAAUAAAAGAGAGAAUCUCUUCGGUGCACUUGAGACAAAUCUAUAACAUAGAAAAUCUUGAUUAGAUUAAAAACUAGAUUAAAGAAGGAAAGAAAAACAAGAAAGUGGGUUUGGCUAUACGAAACGAGUGGGAUUAUUAAUGAUUAAAAGUAAAAGUCUUUUUGGUCUCUGGUCGGUCGACAAUCCGUGUGUCCUGUGGUCAGUGUUUGUUUUUUAUUCUUUUGGUUAAUUUUCGAGUAUUAUUAUGCUUUCCACUGAAAAAACAAAAACAUUAAGCAGCCAAAUGAAAUUCUUUUAACGCGUUGUUUCAGAACCUGAUGAAAAAACAAUAAUCAUGACCUCUUUCUUCUUCCCCUUUAAAUGCAUGUCAAAUUGUGUAGGAGUGUUUGAUUAUAUAAAUUAAAUCUACUUUAGUCUUCUCUUCUUUGUAGAAUUGUAGAGUCGUGGUAUAAACUCGAAAAUUUCUUAUUAUACUUAUAGAAAUUAGGCAGACGAAAUGCUCUUGAUUUGCUUACAAUCUUAGAUUAGGUUUAACCCAAGAUAAAAAAAAACUUUGUUUUGAUGAAGAAAAACACCUUAGUUACAAUUUUGGACAUCAUCUUUUAUUUUCACAGUUAGCAUCUGAGACUUUUUUUUCUUUUCUUAAAUAGAGUUCUUAGACAAUAUCUUUUGGGUCCCUGAUCAUGUCAAAUGCCAAAAAAAUAAAUAAGUAUACAUGAUUGUGUCUAUUUGACCAUUCUAACUUCUAAAAGUUUCAAAUGAAAUAACUUUGUCAACUAUUAUUUUUGCCUAUGAAUUAGGUGCUGACCAGAAUCAUCUUGCUAAAAUCAUGAUUUUCUACUAUUGCAUAUUAUUCUUGAUCGCAUUUCACAGAUCUUAAUAUAUACGAAAAUAACUGUAUAUAUUAUCAACUGUUACGAUUAAUAUAUAACCAUGCAUAUCGAAAUAUUUUGAAUUAGUAUUUUUUUUGCUAAAUAAUAUUUUGAUAUAGUGGUGGCGUGGUAUUCCUCAUUUACAAAUCGCAUGAACUUUAUCCUAAAUACGAUUAACUUAAGUAGAAAAGGCACAAAAAUCUUCUAUUCAUUAACAUGAAAUCAAUUCUUAAGAACAUAAAUAAAUAAUAAUAUUCAUAGGAAGCCAAAUCCAUCAGAGAAAUCCACAAGAUGAUGACAGCUCCCCAUUUAGAAGUCGUAAAAGAAAAGCAAAGAAGAUGUGCAGCACUUGCAGUUUCAUUUGUUUUGUUAGAUAUACCAGAAAAAAAAAAAGAGUGGUCCCAUAAAAACCUGUAAUAUAUAACAUUUUAAUCAAAGAAAAUGAUAGAUUUUUUUAUUAAACAGGAAAAACCACUAACUUUUAAUUAAAAAAUUUGGAAUACAGCAAUACAUCAAAAAUCCAUUAACGGUACAUUAUAGUUGAAAAUAAAUUCAGGUUACAUAAUAUUUUUUGCGUAAUCACUAUACUAUUCUGCCAUUUUAUAUGGAACUAAGUUCAUACGUUAUUUCUCACAAUUCUCCUUGAUGUGAUCAAAGAUAAUGGCGGUCUGAUUGUAUAACCCGGUGAAAAAGGUUUUUUGGAAAGAAUUCUUUAAUAUUAAAAUAUCAAAUAAAUUUUGUUUAAAAAUUAAGGACACAUUAUAUAGCACUAUAUAUACACAUGUGUAUGCAUUAUCAAAUGGGAUGUUUGUGACCUUUUGUCUCUUCUUCUCUAAAAUUCUCUUUCUCCCAAAAACUAAAAAACCAAAAAAACCAAAAAAUGUACGCAAUGAAAGAAGAAGACUGUCUUCAAACAUUUCACAACUUACAAGACUAUCAAGACCAGUUUCAUCUUCAUCAUCAUCCACAAAUUCUCCCCUGGUCGUCGACAUCUUUACCUUCUUUUGACCCACUCCAUUUCCCAUCUAACCCGACCCGUUAUUCUGACCCGGUUCACUACUUCAACAGAAGAGCUUCUUCUUCCUCUUCUUCUUUUGACUAUAACGACGGUUUUGUCUCUCCUCCUCCUUCCAUGGAUCAUCCUCAGAACCAUCUAAGGAUUUUAUCCGAAGCUCUUGGACCCAUCAUGCGUCGUGGCUCGUCCUUUGGGUUCGAUGGUGAGAUCAUGGGAAAAUUGAGUGCACAAGAAGUCAUGGAUGCUAAGGCUUUAGCUGCUUCAAAGAGUCAUAGUGAAGCUGAGAGAAGAAGACGAGAGAGAAUCAACACUCAUCUUGCUAAGCUGCGUAGUAUAUUACCAAACACAACCAAAGUAAGUCGUUUAUAAAUAAACACUCUUCUCCUUUCAUUAUGGUUUGAUAUUUCAGAAACUAAUUCACUAUUUUGAAAACCCUAUGGAAAAAUAGUUUUAAUUAAUUAAUGAUCCUUCAAAAUUUCUCUUUAUUUAGUUAUUAUUGGUUAGAGUAGUAGUAAUUGUUGUUGUUUUUUAAUAAAGAGAGUAGUAGUAAUUGUUCUUUUUCUGAUAAAUAUAGUACUAAUUAUUCAGUUUCAAAAAUGAUAAGUACUAUAUUUUUCAAUAUUAUCAUUUUUAUCUAUCUCUGUUCAACUAUUAUCGUUUAGUAGUUGUAAAUUUUCAAAUUUAAAAUAAAUGUAUCAAAUCGAUAUUUUUGGUAAGUAAUUAUAGUCCACAGAUGGGGUAUUUUUGUACUAGUUAUUAUUAUUGAAGAAGAAGAAUAAGAAGAUUAAAUACUUAUGAUUCGUUUUGGUUUUGUAUAGACGGACAAAGCUUCUUUGCUAGCGGAAGUGAUCCAACACAUGAAGGAGCUAAAACGACAAACAUCACAGAUCACCGACACGUAUCAAGUCCCAACAGAGUGCGAUGAUCUGACCGUAGAUUCGUCUUACAACGACGAGGAAGGAAACUUGGUGAUAAGAGCAUCCUUUUGCUGCCAAGACAGGACUGACCUCAUGCAUGACGUCAUCAAUGCCUUAAAGUCUCUUCGUCUUCGAACUCUCAAAGCUGAGAUCGCAACCGUAGGUGGUAGAGUCAAGAACAUCUUGUUCUUGAGCCGAGAAUACGAUGAUGAAGAAGAUCAUGAUUCAUAUCGUAGAAACUUCGAUGGUGAUGACGUGGAGGAUUAUGAUGAAGAGAGGAUGAUGAAUAAUCGUGUGAGUUCGAUAGAAGAAGCGUUAAAGGCGGUUAUAGAGAAGUGUGUUCAUAAUAAUGAUGAAAGUAACGAUAACAAUAACUUGGAGAAAUCAUCUUCAGGGGGUAUUAAGAGGCAAAGGACUAGUAAGAUGGUGAAUCGAUGUUAUAAUUAGUUAAUUAAGUCAAGUCUUUAUUAACUAGGGUUAGUUAAUUAGACUUGCAAAAUGGGAUUUGAUUAUGGGUUGGUGAUAUUAGUAUUAUUUUCGGUGUUUUUAGUAGUUGGGAUUGGGUUUCUUCUUCUAUGUUUUUUUAAUCUAUGAAGAACCCUUUGUUUAGGGUUUUAUAGUGAUGAGUUUGGUUUAUAUAUGGUAGUUAAGACAUUUUAUCGUCUUAAUUAAUAUAGGAAAUGUAUAGAGCUUGGGUUUGUAUUAAUUUAUCAAGAAGUUUUAUUUAUCAUAUUCAUGAACUCUGCAACUAUUUAAUCUUUUGUUUAUAAGCAACAACACUACGUAGUAAUAGUAUAGAGUAUAGUUUUAUACUUGUCAAUUUAUUUUCUAUUGUGACUGAUAUAAGAGAAAUGACAUAAAGAAAUCUCUUACGCAUAUCCAUUGUUAUUUUUUCUGACAAACUACAACGAUUAUGUCGAAAUCAGUUUUUAAAUGUGCAUGGGAGAAAUAGUCUAUGUCGUACUUACUCUAUAAUUUAUUUCCUCAGUUUCUACAUAUUUUUUAAAACCACAAUUUUUUCUUCACAUCCGAUAUAUAAUUAAUGUGAUAUUUCUUAAAUUAGAUUGAUGUAGAGAGUUAUGUGACGGAAGAUUUGUGUAAGUUAUAUCAAGUGAAAUCGAGAGUAGUAGUAGAUCGAAUCUUUUUCGUGAGAAGUGAAAACUUAGAUCUUAGUUCUAUUUAUAGAAACUUAGUUUUGGGAUCUCUGAUAAUAUUGUCUCUUUCGCCGUUACUGACUUACGUUAUUUAUUACAAUAUUACAGAGACGGUUGAUACCACAAGCACAUUACGUCAUGAUCUCGUCAUUUUGUAUCUACUGGUUUUUCCUUUAGUCCAAAAUUCAACGUAGAACCAAAAAAAUGGGCUUAUUAAUUUGGUGUUUUCUUGAGUCUUAUUACUUAGACAGCUUUAGACAAAUUCUGUAUUCCGGUCCAACAGUCGGAAAUUUAAUCCACUGAGGAAAAAAUUUCAACAAAAAAUAUAUAAAUGGUAAAAUAUCGGCAAUAUUUAAUAAUGUAACAGGAAUAUGAAAGAAAAAAAAAUGACAAAAAAUAAAGAAAAGACUUUACAAUUAAGAAUUACGAGUUAAAAGGCCAAGUUUUCUAGACCCAAUUUUGGCCCAAGAGAUUCGAUAUGUGCUUUUGAAGAGUGUAUAGCCGGUGGGUGAUGAUAUCAUUUUGACCCAUGGGCUGAUGUUGAGGCCCAAUAAAGAAAAAAUAUAAAAAUGGCCUAUACAGGGAUCGAACCUGUGACCUUCGCGUUAUUAGCACGACGCUCUAACCAACUGAGCUAAUAGGCCAAUCUGAUUGUAAUUCUCGUUUUAGAUAUUAAUAGAUGUAAUAUAGACAUAGUAUAUGAACUUGUGAGGUUUAGAAAUAUAAGAUAAUCAAACAGAUUGACGAUAAUUGUCUUAUAACAGUUGACAUUAAGUAAGAAAUUUUCUUUUGAUGUCUAUAGAGUAUAAACAUAUCUAUUAUAUAAUACGUUGAGAAAAUAAAAUCAUGUGCUAUGUUACAGAUUAGAAGAACACAAAUAUGAAUGCACCUGGAGAGAAGUCCACCAAGUGUUGAAGUACAAGGAAGUGAACAUACAAGUAUGUGGACCAAUAAUGUUGAAUCUUUUUUAAACAUAUGUAUAAUAAUAAUAUCUGAAACAUUGCAUGAGACCGAAGACUACAUCUACAUGCAGACCAAAAACACUUUAGCUAGUUGGAAUUUGUGAUUAGUUGGAGACAGACACCAUAAGAAUUAUGAACAUAAUUCCGAACAAUGAACUUGGUUUAUAAACACAUGACCAUGCGAAACAAAUAUACUGGUGUGAAAAAUGAAAUAGCAGAAUCAUUUAUGGAACAUAACUUAAUUUUUUUCUUAUAAAGAUUUGCAUUAGCCUCCCGAAAUAAAUAACAGAAAUCGCGACUCCAAUAAAUUUUAUGACUAGUGUAAAAGUUAUGGAAUCAUUGAAUCUUGAAAGCUAUUGAGUUCUUGAAACAAGACUAAAAAUGGAAAUAAGAUAUAGUUCACAAAUGUUACGUGGGAAUGUUUAGUUCAAUUGGGUAAUGUAAAAUAAACCAUUAAAUCGGAAACUCCAUGAUGUGAACAUCAACAAAUAAAAUUUGGACCCAGAGGUGAGAAAGUGACAAGAGAAGAGGACGAUGGUUCCGGUCACGACGGCGACGGUGGUAGGACCGCCGUGUUGGCCCGCCGCACGUGAUCGAGCCUAUCCUCUUGUCUUUUUGACCUUUCAACUUCUUUUGUCUCUUCCUCAUCAAUAACUUUGUGCGUCAAGAUUUUCUUACUGCAGACAGAUUUUUUUCUCACUGCACAUAGAUGGAUGUACAAAACAACAAGAGAACCGAACUUAGAUUCUAUAGUGACAAUUGCAAUUAUAGUUAUGAUGUAUCGGGAUAAUACUUUCUACCAUACAGUUUCUUUAUUAUAGAUGAAAAGAUUUUAUCAGUCUAAUAUGUAUAGUCUAAGCUAUGUAACUUUAUCAUUCAUAUAACAAUAUAUGUAUAUAUAAUAUAUAUAUAUAUAAUAUAUAUAUAAUAUAUAUAUAUAUAUAUAUUCAUAUGUACAUGACAAAAUAAACUAUAGGUGUAGUGUAGAUGAGUACAUAAGACAUAUGGGCUACAUAGUUAAAGUUGGCCGACAACAGAAUUUCAAUGAGACAAUGAUGCAGAUUCAGUUUCUUCCCACCUGACAUUUCGACCCCAUUUUCUUCCUUUCUUUAUCGAUAAUUAAUUUAGUGUUCAAUUAUUAUUUUUCAUUUUUGAUACAAAGUGUUCAAAUUUUAAUAAACUUCAGCAAUUAAUUUAGUGUUAUAAUGAGGAUAUUUUGUGGUUGGAGCGGUUGAGAAGGUCUCUCAUUCAAAACCUUUGAUACAAUGAUACUACAAUCAAUAUACUUGUUAAUUUUAAAAAUAACUAUAAAUUUAUUUGCGAAAAAGAUUGGCAAAAAAAAAAUGAACAUUGACAGGCCUUUUAUAAUAUGGGCCCAUUAGCUGAGUGCAUGGUUUGUAAUCAGUUUUAGUCUUCAGAUGAUAUUGAGUAUUGACGCAAUUACAAAGAAGAAAAGGAAAUUAAAAUUCACUUUUAUUUAUUUAUAGUAGAAUAAAUUUGACGUGAUAUAGUACAUGUCUUUCCAUCAUAAAUUAAUUUGGCACCUAAUGGUCACGUCAGAGGGACCGAACAAUAAUUUUCGAUGAUAUUGUGUCCCUUGAUUUAUAUCUAUAGUCAUUGAAACUUGAUUAGUUUAAUUUGCUAAUAUAAUAAGAACUAAGCAAACAUACAUCAUCAUAGUUAUAUAUAGAGAAGUCUUAAUGUAAGUCCAAAUAACUAAAUUAAAGUAGAGUUAUCCCAUACGUGGAGCACCAACAUUACAUAUGAUUAGACAAGUAACCAAAGAUUAUUUAAUUUCAGUUUUUAAAUUAUCUUCAAAUCAAUUAGCUAAUGAUUUGAACUAGGAAGAGGUUAGUUGGUUUGACUAAAAAAUGGGAGUUUUUAGUUCAUGCAUGAAAAGCAGUGUUAGGCAAACUUGUACCUCGCAUAAUGAUUUUGUUUAUUUAAUAGUAAUUGGGAUAUAUAAUAUUUUUUCUGUUAAAAGCUUCGUAAUUGGGUUUUAUGAACCGAAACUUGCUAUUAACGGCGAUGUAUAUUCUAUGCAUCCGUGUAAUUUGUGAGAUAUAUUACCUUCUUCCACAAGAAAGAAAUUAUCUUUGGUUUCUUGUUAAGUUAAAACAUGUAUAAUUGUAUAAAGUUGGUUGAAACUUUAAGUAUUUAACACUAGUUAUUGUGUAUACUGACUUCUUCUUUUUUUUUUGGCAAAGUUACUGACUUCUUAAGAUGUAAAAAACUUUGCAAGUUUUUAGUCGAUUUGUUAGAUAUGUUACCAUUUUCUUAUAUCUUUCAACAAAUAAUAUAAAUGCGAUGUCACAUAUUAGCUAGAAAACAAAAUUUCAAAUAAAGCCAAUACUAAUCACAAGAACUGAUCUUGGUUAGAUUAUGUGUGAGAUAUAUAGUUGAAUUUACACAGAGAAUUCUAUGGAACUUAUAAGGCAAAAGCCAUUACAAAAUUCAUCCCAAACUUUUAUUCGUAUAUUUACAUAUAUAUCCUCCAAAAACUAAACAUAUAUCCAUAUCGAAAGUGUUCAACUUCCAUCCUCCUACGAUUGUCUAUCUUCUUGCAAAACUCAAACCAGUUUCCUCUUUCAUAUCCUCUUGCAAGCAAAACCCAAGCCGGUUUCCUCCUUCGUAUCUUCUUGCAAGUUGCAAUCAUCGCUUUGAUCCGGUUAAGCAUCAAAGUAUCAACACUUGAAUCAACCAAGAUCAAUCUUGCCAACAUAGGAGCAUAACAACACAUCGUUUGAUGAUGUAAAGCUUAGCUCUUUGCUCUCUAAGAACACCACCAAGUCCUCUGCUGCUCGAUACUCUUCUCUUCAAAACUCCCAUCUUCGAUAUAGAGAUUUUCUUUUAGGGUUUUUCUUUGAUUGUUUUGAGUUUUAGUUGCGAAGUAGAUAAGAGAAAGUGAUUAAUUGAGGUGAACAAAGAAAUGUCUUUUAUAGAAGAAGAAGAAGAGAGUUGUGUAGUAGGGACAAGAAGUCGAAGUCGCGCGUGGAAAUGCACCCCAACCCACCCGACACUGUCUCUCACCAUCCACUUGUGUUAAAUGUCACAUAUCAUUUUCAAUGUUUUGAGAUAGACGAUUAUAAUUGGGUGGUGUGUAUUCGUGUUACCGUCAUAUAUGUUAGGAUUUGAAUUGCGAAACUGAUUUAUAAAACAAAAUUGAAACAUAAGUAAAAACUAGUUAUGGUGAUUCACUUUUAAAUGUGAGAAUUACAUAAAGUUUUCGAAGUUCACAUUUUUUUUUUCAUUUUUCAGUGUAUAACAAACGAAUUGGGCUUCAAGAGUAAAUAAAUGAAAAGUUUAAGACAAACAAAUCUACAUGUUAAUCAACAAGAAAUCUAUCAUUCACACGGCCUCACCUUAUCACCAAAACAUUAUGCUCCACAACUCAUAAAUAUUAUUAGGAGAAAUCCGGUAAAAAUGCACGUGUGAUUUGUGAAAUAAAAAUCUCCAGGUUCAAGAUAUCAAAGUUCUUAUUCGCUGUCCACAAAAAGACAAUAUAAUGAAUUAUUGUACGGUUAUAUAAAUAUUUUUUCAAUGUUUGUGUUCCUAUAUAUUGCUAUUUUCUGUAGAGGAUAUGUAAAUAUUACAUAGUUAAGGAUUAUGUUGUAGUUACUUUUAGCCUAAUCUCCUUCUUGUAGCACACUAUAAAUACUUGUAAUCCUCUCUCAAUAAUAUUAAGCUUCCUAUUCUACAUGGCAUCAGAGCUUUGAAGGCAAUGAACACGGCCUCUUUGCUACAAGAAGGAGAUUAGGUUGAAAGUAAUUACAACAUAAUCUUUAACUAUCUAAUAUUUACAUAUUCAAUCUUUCAUUUUCCAUGUUUUGAUGAAUCUACAGUUUUUGGUGCAUGAAAAAAAUCAAAUUAUUGUAUGAUGAUUUUUCUGGAAUUAUAUUGCCCCAAAAAAAUAUUUCUUAAAUGUUAGUUUUUAUGCAGUAUUGUGAAUCAGAAUGAAUACUUAUCUACGUUUUGUUUGAACAUGAAUCUGAUGAAUGCGAAAUAUCUAUAAGCCAAUCGUUUUCAUUUUUAUAUGGUCACAAACCGUGAACAUACAUGCCCUCUUUGUUCCCUCUUUUAUUUCCCACCAAAUAUCUUUGAGACCUAUAAUUAAUUAUAAUAGAUUGCAAGAAUACAAAAUUUUAAAGCUCUUAAAUUAACAUAUCAUAUUUAAUUAUUUAUUCGAUUUCAGAUCAUGAAUCAAAACAUAGUUGAAUUAUAAACAAAAACAUUAGUAUUCAACUAAAACUGUGAUUAUUUGUACAUCUUCCAAUAUAUAAUUUUAUAUAAUGUAAGAAUAUGUAUUUUCGAUUAUUUUGAAAAUAUAGAUUCAAUAGAUUCAAAAUUUUGGUACCAUUAAUAUGAAAUAAUUGAGCCUUUCAUUUAAGGAUAUAGUUUAUGAACAAUAAUUUGUUUGUGUGUUGGAUCCACGUCAGUACAGUUAGACCUUCCAUUUGAGUUCAAAACAUAUGGUGCAUUGACGACGUGGCAAUGAUGGUUUUGUAAGAUGACAUAGUUCGUAGAUACUAACUAAAGCAAAAAGUGGAUGUAUUAUUAAUUGUAACUGUGUUUUUUCUUCCGUAUUUGGAUUCUAAACAUUUUUCACAUUAUCUCUUUGUUGUGAGUGUUUAUACUUUUAGACCAAAUUAGUAUAAUAGUUUUAUAUGAAGUUCAAUAUACAUUUGAAAGCCGUUUAAGCAAGUUUUUUCAUUUAUUGAUAUUUUCACCACCUUCAUAGGACUUGUUGACAAGCAAGUUCGCGUCUGCUAUUUUCAACACUUUCUCUGAAUUUAUGGAGUCCCGGACGGAAACAUUUAUAUAUAAAAAAAAAGUUUCAUAUAAGUUUAGUUGUAUUAACUCUUGUGUGUUUGUUUGUUACAUGGUGCUUUAAACGGGCUUUGUUUCGUACUUUGUAGACAAGAGUUUUCAGUUUGCUUCACUCCUUAUGGCCUCUAAUUCUGAAGCAUUUGCAUUGGUUGCCACAUCUAUGAUCUAUCUAUUGGUUUGUCAUCUAAAAAUCGAAAUGACAAAAUGUGGCAAAUAAUUGCGUCUGGCAGAUUGUUGAACACAGCCAUGUUUCUCAAAGAAUUCAAAUCCAGUAACACAUCUGGGCCUUGCUUUUUCCAGCCCAUGAGUUGCUUAAAUUUGGAAAUUAUCGUGGGGCGUAAAAUAAUACCGUGACAAGUUUAGAUUGGUUUAAACUUUAAACAUAGCAAAAUAUGGCCUACGUUGAUGGUCUAAGAAGGGUUGUAAUUCUUAUUUCAUCUAGUAACGGAUUGAUUACAAAUAAAAUGUUUAUAGCUUUAUAUGUUUGCUAUUCAUCACAAUAAUCACUUCACAUCACUUAUUAACGUUUCAAUUUUCUCUAAAUUAAAACUCACUCCCUUUAGCAUUUGCGGUAGUAUUUAAUGGUAGAUUUCAUAUGACCAAAAAAAAGAGAGUAACAUUAAAACUGCAAAAAGCACUUCACAGUUUUGGACUUUUUAGAUAUAAAGUAAAAUUUGGCCCACUAACUGACAUAGCUUAGCCCAUUUAGUCAGUCUAAAUUUUUUUGUAGCUUACAAAUUCUUAUAUGAUGAUGCUGGCUUGAAAAUAUCUUAUGGUGAUUAUGACUUGUAUGAUGAUUAUGGCUUGAAAAUAACUGACAAACUGUAAUUUUUUAUGUACAUAAUAUACACACACAAAAUAUACAUGUAUAAGAUAUACUGGUAUGUGUGUUUAUAUGGAAUUUUGUUGAGUGUAUAUCAGUUCAACGUAGGUGCCAAAAUAAUUAUUAUGGCUGAUUAAUUAAUGUUACGAAUUUCAGAGAUCAGAGAAGAACUUUUGCCAUUAGUCGUAUUUAAUACAUCAAGAAAUUGUAAUCUCCCUAAUACUCAGUACAAUAACUGAAAAAAAUUUCAGCUAUUUUUAUAUUGUUAUCUUGUGUUCAUUUUUUUCUUUAUAUCUACAAAUUUCUUCCCCACAUCUACAAAAACAGUUUUCAAACCAGCAGGACCAACUUCUUCAUCUACAUUCACAUCAUCCACAGCAGCAUAAGCUUCAGCCACAGACUCAUCAAUUUUCUUCUUCACAAGCUCAGUUUCAGCGACAGACUAAGCAACUUCCUUCUUCACAAGCUCAGUUUCAGCGACAGACUCAGCAACUUCCUUCUUCACAAGUUCAGUUUCAACGACAUACUCAGCAACUUUUUUCUUCACAGGCUCAGUUUCAGCACAGACUUAGACACUUUUAGAACAAUAUUCUGAAAUUUUGGCACAAAGUUUACAGAUGUGAACUUGGUAACAAUUCUUCUUCCAGACAAUGUUGGUUUCAUGAAUCCGGAGCAAGAAAGAGGUAAACCAAAAGAAGCCAUAAUGAAACGAAGAAGCAGUAGCAAGAGUAGAAAAGAAGCAGUAGCAAGAGUAGAGAAGAAGAUAAAAUGAUGAAUGAGAUAUAUAGUGGUGAACAUUAUAUCUCUAUCUCUACGAGAAACACAUAUAGAUAUCAAAACUGUAUCUAUAUUCUCUAAGCUACGAAAAGAAUUACCUGCAAAUUAGAGAAAAUCUCGAUCAGUCAACGGUUCUGUUGUGUUCAAUAUAUAUUUUUUUUUUUGAUGUAUACUAGAUAUUGACUGGUAACAUGAGAACUAAGAAGAUGAAUUUUUUUUAGGGAUAUAACAGGCAAUGAGUGCUAAGAAUCGAUAUGUUUUAUGUUUAGUCGAGACUUAAGUUUGAAAAAUACAGUAAGAAUAAAACUAUGGUAUUUUAGAAAAGACGAAUAUUCUAAAUUACUUGAAACUAGGUGGAAUUGAAUCUUUCAGAAUCUAGUUUUUGUGGGUAAACAAAUCUAAGUCAAUUCUUAAUUUUUAUUUAAGAUCUACUUUUUGUUUUUUAGUAUAUAAAGGAAUUUGUGAUUUAGGUCGGGAUAUGAGCCUUUGAGAGGCGAUUUUUAGGUCCAGCCGCCCAAAAUUUUUUCUUCUCUUAACUUUGUUGUUCCCUCUCCGAUUUACCGGUACCCUUGGCCGGAGUCGUGAGAUGUUGUUUCCGAUUGUCUUUUCUCUUUUUUUUUUCUUUGGUUCGAGCCUUCUCUAGCUUCUCUUAUGGCGGAUCUAAAGACGAGAUCUAGAUGGUUGUGCUUCGAUAGGGUUGUUUCCGUUUCUCGGUGACGAGAUCUAGAUGGUUGUGCUUCGAUAGGGUUGUUUCCGUUUCUCGGUGACGAGAUCUAGAUGGUUGUGCUCAAGCUGAAUCUCAAGGUUUUCCUCCUUGUUCCUAGCCUGUAUCAUUAUCUUCAUCUGCUUUAGUGUGGCCUGGCUCAAGUGGUUCAUGUUUCCUUGGUCAUGUUUAGUGCAUUGGUCGUAGACUUCUCUUAGUGAGCUAUUUUUAAAGGUUGUAUCUUUGUUGUUUGUUGCUUCCCUGUAUUUUAGGGCUAUGUCUCCGUUGUUUGAGCUAUGUUUCUCCUUUGUUUGGGCUAUAUCACCCUUGUUUGGACUAUGUCUCCUUUUUGGGUUUGUGACUACGAUACUAUCCCGUUUUUGAUAGCGGGUUUUAGUAUCCGUCUUUGUAUGAACUUGAAUGAAAUAAAAUGAGACUAUUGUGACAAAAAAAAAAAGUAUAUAAAAAAGAUCGCGAGUUUGUUUGUUUGCAUAGGUUAAUGAGCUUAUUACGACAUUAGAAAGAAUAGUAGUUUUUUUUUUUGUCAAACAGAAAGAAUAGUAGUUUAUACAUAAUAACACUAUAUAUGUAGCUCUGUAACAUAGAUUAGUCUGGUUUUGUUUCGCGCGAUAUUGUAGUAGAAUUGUAAACACUACGUUUUGGGUCUGGUGGCAUUGAAAAUCACAACAAGGCUAAGGUCGCGUGGUCAACAGUCUGCUUACCAAAAGCUGAGGGAGGGCUAGGUCUCAGGUGGUUUUCAGAAUGGAAUACAACCCUCAAUCUGAAGCUUGUUUGGCGGUUAUUCUCCGGAGGAGGAUCUUUAUGGGUGGAUUGGCAUAGGUAUCACCAUCUUCAGGGUCUUGGGGAUGCCUCUGUUUCUAAAUUCUGGACCUCUCAAGAAUUGGUCUCUGAUUCCUGGAAUUGGAAAUGUCUCUUGCGGCUGAGACCUUUAGCAGAGCGUUUCCUUCGAUGUAACAUAGGCAAUGGCCUUACUGCUAGGUUCUGGACAGACAAUUGGACGCCAUUUGGCCCCUUACUUAUUCACAUUGGUGCUGCACGUCCUAAUAGGUUGAGGAUUCCUAUUGAAGCUUCUGUUGCAGACGCUACUCAGGGCAUUAGUUGGGGUCUUCCUGUCUCGCCUCUUUGUUGCUUGUGUUCUUGUGCACCCGAGACCAGGGAUCACUUACUGUUGGGUUGCAGUUUCAGCAAAGCCCUCUGGAGUUCGGUUCAGUCCAGACUUAGGUUGCACUCACUUAUUUUUCUGAAUUGGGCUGAACUUCUUUUAUGGAUUCGUCGUUCUAGCACUUCUGCUCCCUCCACACUGAGGAAGCUUGUUGCUCAUUCCGUCGUCUACGCAACUUGGAAGCAGAGAAAUAACAUGCUACAUAACUCGCAUCACUUGGAUCCUGCUUCAGUCUUCAAGAUCAUCGAUAGGAAAAUCAUUAACUCCAUCAACGCAAGAAGACACAAAAAGAAGUUCCGUAAUCUUAUGAGUUUUUGGCUCAUAUAAUGUUUCUUUCUGAAGAUUGUUUACUUCUUUGUUUUUUAUCUUAAUUUUUGCCAAAGAACUAAUUAUUUAGGAGUUCUCAUUGUAAUUCCUAACUCUUUUAUUUUAUAUAAUAUUUACCGACUUAGCAAAAAAAAAAAACACUACGUUUUGAGCUAAAAGAAAGUCAAUGGCGUAACACACAGUGUCUUAAACAUGUCGGUCCAUGUGUACCGUGUUACGUACAUAAUAUUCAUAUACAUUUGGUAAAUAUGUAUGUCCAUAAUAUAUAUAAAGCUCGUUGACUUUGGUUGACCUUGAACUUUAACUUUAUUAUGUGGUGACGCCACUGCGUUCGUCAUUAUUGAUCGAUUAGAACAUAAAUAACUAAAAGAAAAGCUACAUGUUAGUGGGAGUACAGGUUUUUGAUAAGCUCGUUUGCAACAGAAAAACUUCCCUAAAGAAAUAUCUAAAAUAAACUAAUAAUAUGCAAAUUGCUAAGUUAAUCAAAUUCCAACAUAUCAGAAAGAAAGAGUUUGCUAAGUUAUAGUAAUACUAAUAGCUCUAGUUGGCUGUAUUUCGUUCAUGGGUGUGUCAUGUCGGCAACGUGAAUCUACUUAUUACUAUAGUUAAAUACAGUAUUAAUUAAAUUUUUGUUUAUAUAGUAUAUUAUUCAUUUCCAAAUCUUAUUCCAGGGAAAUUAGAUCUUUUAACCGUGAUACAUAUUUUGCUAACAAAACAAUCAUAUAAGUUUAGUGGUUAAUAUACACUAAACUUGAUUUAAAACAUGACGACAUAUACGGAAAAAUAGGUUAAAGAAAAUGAAAAUUUUAUUUUAUAAUAAAUAGUCAAAAUAUGGAAAAUAUAAAUGAUAGAGCAAACUAACAUUUUAUUUAAUGUGUUUAAGAAAAGACACUUUUGAAGGUGUAUACCAUUUUGAAAAGAAAAUUUUAGACCACAUGAGUAAAUAUGAUUCAAAAUAAAAAUAAAACCAUAUUUGUUUUUAACAACAUACAUUAUGUGAAUUCUUAUCUAGAUGGUAACACAAUGAGAAGAGAUUUUGCUCUACAUCUUAUAUGAUAUGAGCUUUUUUUAAUCAACCACACAUUUAUUAAAAGAUAAAUCCAUGAUUGGUUGUCCAAUUGAGAGGAAAAUAAUUUAUAAAAGUAAUUUAAAAAAAUAAUAAACGAGAAAAAUGAAUUUUCCUCAGAAAUUAUAUAAAAGAAAAAAAAGAAAAAAAUUGAGGAAAAGGAAAAUAAAACAUGGAGCAUUCCAAAUUUAUCUAGUAGAUUGGAGAAUACUGGCUAGGCGAAUGCAAUAUCCAGACAUAUUAUGAUAUGAAAAUUGGAUAUGAAAUGAGUUUUAAAUUUUUUCAUUCUACAUAUUAUCAAAUAAUAUUUCAAAAGUAUCAUGUAAAUUUAUUUAAAACUUAUGACACUAAUCUACACAAAAAUGAAUAAAUGUUAAAGAAAUGGAAACUUCAUUAAUUUAUUACAAUAAUGUGGCUCCUUUGAUAUCAGCUUCUCAACCAAUGGCAAUAUAAAUGUAUGGGGGUAGUUGGUCCCAUGGCUUCGACCAAUUAUCUUCUUCGUUUCUCUCUUUUCUUUUUGUUUAAAACUACUAAGUCAACAAAAGCAACUUGGAGUGAUAACACGAGGAACUAGUCGUUAAUUAAUUGAUUAAAGUUAAAGUAUAACGAGCUUUUUAACUGAAUUGGUCAUUAAUAAAUUGAUUACGUUAUUCUUUAAUUACUGUUUUUUUCCAUAACUUUAUUUGAUGACUUGGAAUGAGGUGUAUGACUGCAUCUGGUCCACAAGUGGCCCAUGAUCUGAUAUAGAAUCUUGCAAAAUCCGUGACUUGAUUGAUAAUUUUAGUUAUUAUAUUCAGCGUUAAGUAUUACCUAAUUAGCUGAUGUUGUAUUCAGACAAAUAGCGAAAAUUAGACAGUUUUCAUGUUUCUCUCGUAUUGAUUAACUCAAUUUUAUGUAUAUUUGAUAAUAUAGGUUUUUCUAUUUAUCUGUUGUGCAACUUUAACGGCAAUGUAUAUUAUGUCAAUAGGAAAUACACGAAAACACACAGACACACAUAUACAUAUAUAGAUGAUAAAAGAAUCAUACCUCUUUUUUUUCUGUUAAAUAAAAUGUCAUACUUUUACACGAUUUGAAACCUGACAUUAGAUGGUAAUUAUGAUUCAAAAUAUUAAAUUUAGCAGUCGUACGAAAUCUUAUUUUUCGAGUGAAUCCUUACAUGUGAACACAGAACAGCCUGAAGCGACAAGUUGCCUAAUCAAAAACACAUAAAUGGGAAUAAAAUGCGUGACAUGGACAUGGCACAACGUUUCCAUUUCUCCAAAAAAUACUAUAGCUUCCCCAUUUAAAAAAAAUAACUAGAUUUUAACCCGGGUAUACCGCGGGACGAUUUAUUUUUAAAAGUAAUAUAUAUUAAAAUUUGCAAAUUUUAUUUUUACAAAAUAUUUAUAUUUUACAGUUUAUUAUUGUUAUUAAGUAACGCUAUACCACGAAUUCCUGAGACAAUUGUUAAAAAAACUGAAGUUUUGACCCCUAUUAAAAUAGCAUAUUAAUAAUAUUUUAAAAUUUUAUAAAUAUUGAUUUAAAUACAUCCACCAUAUAACUCAAUUCCAAAAUAAAACACGUUCUGUAGUUUCUUUACCCGUCCCAUGAUUUUUUUAAGUAGUAAUUUUUAAAAUUUAAGAAUUAUUUUUUAUAUAUAAAAGUUUUGCAAAUUGUAUCAUUCUCUAAUACAUUUAUAUUUUAUAGUUAUAUUUUAUAUAUAGUAACAUUAUACAUACCACAUAACAUUUUUGGUUUUAUAUAAUUUUUUCUAAAUUAGGAUAAUUUGAUAUGUUUAAUAUUAGUGGUCUUAAAAAAUAAUAAAUUAAAGAUUUAACCCAUAUUGAAACAGUGGAUUAAUUAUAUUUUAUUUUUUUAUUAAUGUUGAUUCAAAAACCCGUCCCUCCAAAUCCGUCUUGCCAAAAAGUCAAUAUAAUCUAAACAUUUUACCUAAUAACAUAGGAGUGCACCAUAUUUAUUUAAUAGGGGAAUGUAUCAUAUGACCCGAAUGCAUUUUUAUCCAAAUCCACCAAAAAAGUCUUGCAAAAAUACUAUAGAUAUAAGAAACGAUAGUCGGUUUUGAUAGAUAUAAGAUUAGCAAAUAUAUUAGUUAGCUUAAAUUAGUUAAAGAAUACAAAUUAAAAAGGUAUAUUACACUUUAUUCAAAUAUAGUAUCAAAACUUAUAUAACACAGAGAUUUGAUAAUUUUUUAAUUGUUGAAUACUUUUUUUUUGUGCUAAUUUUUAUGUGAUUAAGAUUUAAUUGAUUUCAUAUAUAAAAUAUUAAAUUGACUUAUUUGUUUAUAAUUUGGUAACAGAUAGAUAUUUGAAUAUUCAGUAUAUUUUGCUUCAGUUUAGGAAAUCUUUGAUGACCCGUCUUUAGAUCCAAUAAGCCCUAUAAUUUAGAGAUUAAUCUGCAGUAUACCGCAUGUAGGCUUAUAUUUUAGUUAAACUAAAAACUUUUAUUGUAAAGAUGAUUUAAAAAUAUAUGAUAUUAUUUUAUUUGAUUUUAAAUGUAUAGUAAACUGUGAAUUGUAUAUGUUUUGUUGAUAUUAUAUUUUAGAUCGAUAUUAAUACAAGAUGGUAUACUACAUGUGAAACUCUAAAAUUAACAAUCAAAAUACAAGUGUAUAAUUUUAAACACUAAACAAUAUAAAUAAUAUCAACAAAACAUAUACAACUCGCAGUUUACUAUACAUUUAAAAUCAAAUAAAUAAUAUCAUAUAUUUAUAAUAUUAUCAUACAUUUAAAAUCAAAUAAAAUAAUAUCAUAUACCUUCUCACAUACACACCUAUCAAAAACUUAAAACCUUUCAAAACCUCUUGGUAUAUUCAAAUUAGGAUUCUUCAUUCAUGGAAUCAUUAUUCCAAGGGUUUUGAGAUGUCUUAUGAAAUGAUUUUGGCAGAAGAGGAUGUAAAAAAUUUCGAAUAAAAAGUAGUCAGCAAAACAUAUGUUUUUUUUGAAAAUUUUUAGAUAAUUAAAUCAGAGAAUAGGGUUGGACAUAUGAGUAACCCAUUCGAGUUCGGAUAGAACCCGUUCGGGUUUGAGAUUAAUGGUAUAUGAUUUACUACCCAAUAGAAUAAUUCUAAACAUAUGUUUUGUUGAUAUUAUCUAUAUUGUUUAGUGUUUAACAUUAUACACUUGUAGUUUGAUUGUUAAUUUAAGAGUUUCACAUGUAGUAUACCAUCUUGUAUUAAUAUCGAUCUAAACCCGUCAAUUCUAGGAUUUUCCAGCUUGUAUUAAAAAUUGAAUCACAUCUAAUAUGUUAUUAACUAUUGUAGUAUAUAAGAUUAUAAAUUUUCAAUAUAAUAUGUAUGAAAUUGAAUAUAAAUAUUUCAAAUUUAUGUCCCGUUACUCAGUAGAAAGUUUUCUUAAAUCUAUUUUUCACCCGUUAUAAUAUUAUUUCAUGUAUUGAACAAUUUAUAUUCGUUUUUAAAAAUUCAAAUUAUGGCAUAUGCGGAAAAACUCUAAUUAUUUUUUUAUAAUGAUGAUAUUAUUAUUCCGUAAAAAUAGAAUCAUAUAAAGAUGAGAAGUGAACUAUAAUAAUUAAUAAAAAAUUAAGAUGAUAAUUUAGAUACCAAAUAUAAUUUGUUGAUUUUAAUUAGAUACUUUUUUGGAAAUUAAUAAUGUAUUUCGUUUUUCUAAUUAAAUUAAAUUAAUUAAAAUUUAGAUAUCAAACCUUAUAUGUUGAUUUUGAUUGGCUAUUAUUUUUGGAAAUUAAUAAUGUAUUUCGUUUUUUAAUUAAUUUAAUUAAUUAAAUUAGUAUUUGAUUUUUAAUCCUUAAAGAGAUAAAUUAAUUUACUCUUUAAAAUUUUAUUUUUAAUGGCAUAUCUAUGUAAUUAUUUAUAAAAAUUAAGAUUAUAUUUAAAAUGUAUUUCCCAAAUAAUAUAGUAGAAUAAUAAUUAAAAACAAAAUUAAUUGGCUCGUGAACAAAACGAUAAGAACUAACAAGAAAACAUUAUUAUUGUUGACAAAUAAAAACAAGAAACAUUAUUAUAUUAACACCUAACGCUGCCACACCUUUUAUAAGAUAUAUGUUUUCUUUUACAACUAUCUGAAUCUCUAAUGUAAUAAAAAUAUAUGAAUGAUGUCACUGGUAGUUUGGUACCAAUUCCAUGCACAACAUUGUAAACCAUUUUCAUUUUAGUGUUCUUUGAACCUUUUGUAAAUAAAAACAAUAUUAAACCAAUGGAACUCAUUGUAUAGUUAAUUAAUAACUUUCGAAUCCCAAAAAAGUUCCGAGUAACGUUUUUUCUCGUCUCUAUAUUGGAUUGUAAAAACAAGUAAAAUAUAUAUCCGGGUCAGUUCUUCUAAUCAAAAUAAUCAAGAAUGCUCAUUAGAUUAGACUGGAAUAUUUUGAUAAACAUCCAUAAUUAGAAUUGAAAGUUCUUAAUUUAAAAAACAACAACUAAAUAUAAAGUAACGAAUACAGGAAAAUUAUAUUUUCUAUUCUAAUAAUAUAUGUUGAUUGUUGCAUAUUGUCUUUUUGGUUUAAUAAUAAUCGUUAUCUAAAGUCUAGAAAAAAGUUAAUUAUAGGUAUAUCUUUUUAGUAAUUCUUAUCCAAAUACUUCAAAGACACGACAUACAAAGGACAAUAAAAAGUACAUAUCUAUAACGAGAUCGACCUUUGAUCUUAGAAAAAUAAAAUGAGUUAAGAAUACGAAUAUACGAUCGAUCCCCAAGAAAAUAGAUGUGUAAUUUGGGAGUAUAUAUUACUUUUUUUUUUUCGUCAGGAGUAUAUAUUACAUUUUUACAUUUAUCUAUAAAAGAAAUAUAUUGUGUUAAUACACUAAAAUCAGAUAAAGAAUUAAAUAAUUUAGCAUAUUACGCGGCUGCCGACAAUAGAUGUGGAGUAUGACUUCACGUAGACAUAUUAAGUCAUCUAGUGUCAAUAUAUUAAAUUGAUUGUUGGGUUAUAAUUGAUCUUAAAGUGAGCAAGUUUUAUGUCGCACCAAAAAUAAACUAUUGAGUGUUAUGUGCCUAACACUUAAGAAGUUAAGAUAAUCUCGAGCGCUUUUAAUUUAAUCUAAACAAGACUAAUGUGACUAAUGUGCAUAAACAUUCGCUUUGCUUUUUUUCAUCACAUCCUAUCGAUGGCAUAAUCAUAUUCUCUGGAUACGUUAUACUUUUGGGUCGGCAAUUCACGUUUUUAUUCGGCUAUAUAUUGAGUUUUCUUAUUUAAAAGAAUAUUGAAAUAAUACAUCUAAUCAAAAAAUAACAAAACAUGUAGCAUAGUGAUUUAUACUAAUAUUUUUGUUGUGGAUCAUCAUCAUUCAGACUAAAUAUGUAUUGUUAUUGAUUGAAAAAAAGAUAGUUAAGUUUCUCUAAACUUGUGAAACUAAUCUAUUUGAAAAGCAUCUUGAGAUUUCAUAAAUAUUUUUAAUGAAAUAUAAAUUCGGGGUCUAUUGGGAUAGUUGGAUUGGUUUAAUCUGGUUAACUCCGGUUAACUAGAUUUCGGUUUAAGUUUAAUGUGCAUAGUAUAUAAACUUGAGAAUGUAAUUAAUUCAGUUUAAAAAAGCUUUGUAACAACAUUUUAUCAGAUAAUAAAGUUCGUUAUAUCUCUCUUCUUCUUCUCCGAUUAGACUUCCGAUCAUCGGAUUUAUUAUGGUAUCAGAGCCAUACAAUCGAUUCUCCCGCUUACUCUUUCGUCGGAGAUGAGCUUGUUCUUAGCUUCAUUGUGUUUUUCGAUUUGCGAUCUUUCACUUUGAAGAUUUGCAAUUUCGUUCUUUGGUUCGCCGGAAUCUUGCUUUUCCGUUCUGUUUUCUUUUUAUUUCUCUUCAUUUUGACCUCCUGUGUUGACGAUUCUAGCUUUCUUUACACAAAUUCAUCACACAUUUCUUUGUAAUUUCUUGUUCUUACACUGAGAAUGGGAUAUUAUGCUCCUCCAUCGAUUCCAGUGACUCGACCUCCGAUUUCGUCGAAUGGUACUGAACAACCUCGUUUUCAAACGGAUCAGUAUGAUAAUCCGUAUUAUCUUCAUAGUGCAGAUCACGCAGGACUUGUUCUUGUGUCAGAUCGAUUAACAUCUUCUUCAGAUUUUUUGUCAUGGCGUCGAUCCAUUCUAAUGGCAUUGAAUGUUCGUAACAAGUUGGGAUUCAUCAACGGUAUGAUUUCUAAACCUCCAAUUGAUCAUAGAGAUUUUGGAGCUUGGUCAAGAUGUAAUGAUAUGGUCUCGACAUGGUUGAUGAAUUCUGUGGAUAAAAAGAUUGGUCAGAGUUUGCUUUUCAUAACAACUACAGAGGGAAUUUGGAAUAAUUUGCUCUCAAGGUUUAAACAGGAUGAUGCUCCUAGGAUUUUUGAUAUUGAACAAAAGCUUAGUAAGCUAGAGCAAGGUGCUAUGGAUGUUUGCACAUACUAUACAGCUUUACUUACUUUAUGGGAAGAAUACAAGAAUUAUGUGGAUCUUCCUGUGUGUACUUGUGGUCACUGUGAAUGUGAUGCUGCUAUGAAAUGGGAAAAGAUGCAACAGCGUAGUAGGGUUACUAAAUUUCUUAUGGAAUUGAAUGAGGGAUAUGAUCAAACAAGACGACAUAUUCUCAUGUUGAAGCCUAUUCCUACAAUAGAAGAAGCUUUCAAUAUUGUAACUCAAGAUGAGAGACAGAAGUGUGUUAAGCCAUCUACUAGAGUUGAAAAUGUCGCUUUUCAGAGUGUUGCUCCUCCCAUGAUGAAUGAAAUGGAUAAUGCUUAUGUUGCAGCUUACAACACUGCUAGACCAGUACAGAAACCUGUAUGUACUAACUGUGGGAAUGUUGGACAUACAAUUCAGAAAUGUUACAAGAUUAUUGGUUAUCCACCAGGACAUAAGAUAGGUGCAUCAGGAUAUAACUACAGGGGAACUACUCAAAUGCAACCAAGAAUGCAGAUGCAACCUCGUAUGCAACCUCAAACUCAGAUGCAAAUGAUGCCUUAUGCAAAUUCUAUGCAGAAAGCUAAUGCAGUAGCUCAUGUGUAUAGUGAGAAUAGUUCCUAUCCUCCUGAUGGUUAUAUGCCUAUGCCUAUGGUUAAUCCUUAUGGAUCUUUGGCUCCUUAGUAUAUGUCGCAUGUUAUUCAAGGUGGUAACAGUGUUAAUCUUCAAGCGUUUACUCCUCAACAAAUUGAAAAAUGGUUUCUCAGUUUCAAGCUCAAGCACAAGUUCAAGAGUCUAUAGCUGCUUCAAGCACACUUACGGCUACUGUUUCUGAACAUGGUUUAAUGGCUAUUACUUCAACUUCUGGUACUGAAAUUCUAUUCCCUUCUACUAGCCUGAAAUAUGAGAAUAGUAAUCUCACUUUCCAAAAUCAUACACUUUCUUCCUUACAAAAGCUUUUACCACAUGAUGCUUGGAUUUUAGAUAGUGGAGCUUCUAGUCAUGUGUGUUCAGAUUUAGCUUUGAUUAGAGAACUAAAGCAUGUGUCUGGUGUCACUGUCACUUUACCAAAUGGUACUAGGGUUCUGAUUACUCAUACAGGCACAGUUCAUAUUUCACAGAAACUCAUUUUGCAUAAUGUUUUGCAUGUUCCUGAUUUUAAAUUCAACUUGAUUAGUAUUAGUUGUCUAAUUAAGACUUUAGCUUGUUCUGCUAAUUUUUAUGUUGAUUGUUGUUUGAUUCAAGAACUUUCUCAGGGCUUGAUGAUUGGGAAGGGUAGAGUAUUUCACAACUUAUACAUUCUUGAGACUGCGAAUCAAUUUCUUUCUGCAUCAUCUCCUGCAUCAUCUUAUGCAUCAUCACCUGCAACUUGUUCAUUUUCUGGAUCUGUCAUUGAUGGAAAUGUGUGGCAUCAGCGUCUAGGACAUCCGUCAUCUCUAGUUUUACAAAAACUUGUUAGUGUCAUUCCUGCUUUACAAUCUUUUACUUCUUCAUGUUCGAUUUGUCCCUUAGCUAAGCAAAGACGAUUAGCAUAUAUUUCUCAUAACAAUUUAGCUUUGACACUUUUGAUCUUGUUCAUUUGGAUAUAUGGGGUCCGUUUAGUGUUGAAUAUGUUGAGGGUUUUAGAUAUUUUCUUACUUUGGUAGAUGAUUGUACAAGAACCACAUGGAUCUAUAUGUUGAGAAAUAAAAAGGAUGUUACUACUAUUUUUCCUGUCUUUGUUAAGCUUGUUGAAACUCAGUUUAAAACAAAAAUAAAAGGGAUUCGUUCUGAUAAUGCUCCUGAGCUUGCAUUCACUGAAUUGGUUAAAGAAAAAGGAAUGAUGCAUUAUUUUUCAUGUGCUUAUACUCCACAACAAAACUCAGUUGUUGAGAGAAAGCAUCAACAUCUUUUAAAUGUGGCUAGGUCAUUAUUGUUUCAAUCUAAUGUUCCAUUGCAAUAUUGGAGUGAUUGCAUACUUACUGCUGUGUUUCUCAUUUAACCGUUUACCAUCACUAUUAUUGAAAAAUAAAUCUCCUUUUGAACUUUUACUUCAAAAAUUACCUGAUUACUCUUUGUUGAAAAUUUUUGGUUGUUUGUGUUAUGCUUCUACUAAUCAAAAUGAAAGAACCAAGUUUUCACUUAGGGCUAGAGCAUGUGUUUUCUUAGGUUAUCCAACUGGUUUUAAAGGAUAUAAGGUGCUAGAUUUGGAAUCUCAUUCAGUUUUUAUAUCUCGUAAUGUUGUGUUUCAUGAACAGACUUUUCCUUUUAAAACUAGUGAGUUACUUUGUAAGGCUGUUGACAUGUUUCCAAAUACUAUAUUGCCUUUGCCUGCCCCAUUGCAUUAUGUAGAAACAACACCUUUGAUAGAUGAGGACUCUCUGGUAGACACUACUGCAUCAUCAUCAUCAUCAUCAUCAUCAUCUGCAUUAGAUCCUAGUAUCAUACCAUCUAAUACUAGUACAGAGAUGCAUGAUUCAGACCCUAGUUCUGUUCUCAUUACUAGGCCUAAACGCACUACUAGAGCUCCUAACUAUCUAUCUGAGUAUCAUUGUUCUCUUGUUCCUUCUAUAUCUACCUUACCACCUACAGAAAGCACAUCACAAACACUUCCUCCAUCACCUAAAAAGACUUCACCACAUCCCAUUUCCACUACUAUAUCAUAUGAUCGAUAUACUCCAUUGUUUCAAUCGUAUAUCUUUGCCUAUAAUCUUGAAACAGAACCAAAAACAUUUCGCCAGGCCAUGAAAUCAGAGAAGUGGACAAAGGCAGCUAAUGAAGAGCUACAUGCUCUUGAACUCAACAAGACAUGGACUGUGGAAACUUUACCUAAAGAUAAGAAUGUUGUUGGAUGUAAAUGGGUUUUCACAAUCAAAUACAAUGCUAAUGGAACAGUGGAAAGAUAUAAGGCACGUUUAGUGGCACAGGGCUUCACUCAACAAGAAGGUAUCAAUUUUCUUGAUACUUUUUCUCCUGUUGCUAAACUGACAAGUGUGAAGUUUAUGCUUGGUAUUGCUGCCAUCAAAGGAUGGAGUCUAACACAGAUGGAUGUGUCAAAUGCUUUUCUCCAUGGUGAAUUGGAUGAAGAAAUUUUUAUGAGCUUGCCUCAAGGCUAUACUCCACCUCAGGGAACUACUUUACCUCCUAAUCCGGUUUGUCGACUUCUUAAAUCUCUUUAUGGAUUGAAACAGGCUUCACGCCAAUAGUAUAAGAGAUUGUCUUCAGUCCUAUUAGGUGCAAACUAUAUUCAGUCUCAUGUUGACAAUACUCUCUUUGUUAGAGUAACUGCGAACUCCUUUGUUGCUGUGUUAGUAUAUGUGGAUGAUUUGAUGAUUGCCAGCAACAAUGAUGAGGCAGUGCAACAAUUGAAGGCUUUGUUGAGAUUUGAAUUCAAGAUUAAGGACUUAGGUCCAACUCGUUUCUUUCUCGGGUUAGAGAUAUCAAGGUCUUCAAAAGGAUUUUCAGUCUGUCAAAGAAAGUAUGCUCAGAAUUUGUUGACAGAUUCAGGUCUUCUGGACUGCAAACCGAGCUCUAUACCUAUGGAUCCUACAAUACACUUUACAAAGGACAUGGGAGUACCAUUACAGAAUCCAACGUCUUAUCGUGAUCUUAUUGGCAGAUUACUUUACUUGACGAUUACAAGACCUGACAUUACUUUUGCGGUUCAUCAACUCAGCCAGUUUAUAUCUGCACCAUCUGAUGUUCAUUUACAAGCUGCACAUAAGGUUCUCAGGUAUAUUAAAUCAAACCCUGGUCAAGGCUUAAUGUACUCUACAGACUCUGAAUUGUGUCUCAAUGCUUUCUCGGAUGCGGAUUGGGCUACGUGUAAGGAUACCAGAAGGUCAGUUUCAAGUUAUUGUGUUUAUAUUGGCACUUCAUUGGUAUCUUGGAAGUCAAAGAAACAGUCUGUGGCUAGUAGGAGUAGCACAAAAUCUGAAUACAGGAGUAUGGCACAGGCCACUUGCGAGAUUAUAUGGUUGCAACAACUCUUGAAGGAUCUUCAUGUUUCAGUCACUAGUACAACUAAACUCUUUUGUGAUAAUAAGUCUGCACUUCAUAUUUCUAUGAAUCUUGUGUUCCAUGAAAGGACCAAGCACAUAGAAAUAGAUUGUCACACUGUGCGGGAUCAGAUAAAGGCUGGAAACUUGAAGGCUUUGCACGUUCCAACUGAAAACCAACACGCUGAUAUCUUGACCAAGGCUCUUUAUCCUGGACCCUUCCAUUACUUACUGAAGUUAAUGUCACUGUCAAGUCUAUACCUUCCAAAUCAUGUUGCUAAGGUAAAGACUUGAGGAGGGGAUAUUGGGAUAGUUGGACUGGUUUAAUCUAGUUAACUCCGGUUAACUAGAUUUCGGUUUAAGUUUAAUGUACAUAGUAUAUAAACUUGAGAAUGUAAUUAAUUCAUUUUAAAAAAGCUUUGUAACAACAUUUUAUCAGAUAAUAAAGUUCGUUAUAUCUCUCUUCUUCUUCUCCGAUUAGACUUCCGAUCAUCGGAUUUAUUAGGGUUCCCAGUUUUGCAAAAUUAUAUUUCAGACAUACAUUUAUUUUAAAAAAUUGCAAAAUAUUAAAUAGUUCGAGAUGGUUCUUGAAGACUGUCAUGCAGUUUUUUUUUUUUUUUUUUUUACUUAACUUACCUUCAUUACUUUCAAAAACUUGGAUAGAACUACACAGUGUCUCUCGCAAAAGUAACACGUAAAAAAACAACAAACAAAGAAAAAAACAAUCAAAAGAACACAUUAGGCAUUGAACAUGCCGAACCAAGUAGCGAGGAAGGAAGUCCCUUGAUGUCCUAAUCUCUGAGCUCUAGACAAAGGAUCCAAGUGACAGCGGAUUAAAGCUUUUAUCUCCAAAAUAAUUCCAGCAGCAGGUCUUGAGGUAGCAUUGUUAAGUCGAGAGUUUCGUUCUUUCCAUAGAGUGUACACCGAAGCUUGAUGAGCAAUCCUAAGAAUCAUAGUCACAUUCUUGUCAUGACAAGGAUUCUUAAGCCAUCUAACUCCAUCCCCAAACAAAUGAGGAGGAGAAACAUGGGCCCGAGAGGUGAAAUAAUUCCAAACUUCUCUUGCAAACUCACAAUAAAAAGAAAAAUGUUGUCUUGUUUCAUCUUGCGAAUUGCAAAGAAGGCAUACAUAUGGAACACUAAGUCUCCAACUGAUAAGCUUGUCUCUAGUAUGCAGCAUGUGCCUCAUAUUCACCCAAGAAAUGAAUGCAUGUUUGGGAACCCUUCCUUUAAACCAAAUAGCCUUGGACCAAUCCACUCUAUCCUCUAAAAAAUUUAAUUGAAACCAUGUCGCAGCUGAGGGAAACACACAUGAAGCUCAAUUCCUCUAACCUUCCACAAGAAGAGAUCAUCUUCUGCAUCAUCUUGGAGGUUCACCACAUUAGAAACCGGAAGACAGUUAUUGAGCAUUUGAAUAAUUGGGUUCCUGUUCCUACUUCUAUUAAUCCACCAUUCCCCAUCAUCUUGGAAGUUUUUUCUUUUUCUUAAUUUGUCUUCAGAUUAUGUUUCUGUUUGUACUCUUAAAUGGAACCCAAUUUCAUAAGGAAACAUGACAUUUCUCAUUUCUUUGUUUCAUAGAGUUAUAUUCCGUAUUUGUUAAAACUAGUUUCAAAAAGUGAUAUUAGCUGUUGAUAAAGAAAAAAAAAAGGUGAUAAUAGCUUGUUUUAUAAAAGUACACUUGAGAAAAAGAAAAACAAAGGGUGGUACUGUUGAGUGUUGACAUAUGAUCGUUAUUACCUGUAAUAGUAUUAAAAUUAUUGUUAUAUGGGAUUUGGCCAUACAAGCGACCGACCUAAAUAUGGAAAGUAAGAUGACGUAAGCAAAGCUUAUAAAAUUUAUUUUCCACCUAUCACGUUUUUGAUCGAUGAUACGAAGCUAUACUAAGUUUUUAUUUUUUUAAUUCAUCAGUAAACUUUUACUAAAUAAGGUAAUACUAUACAAAAAAAGUUAAAAGUAACUUUUUAAAUAAAUUUUUUGAUAUUCGCUUUUAUAAUCGGUAACUAUUAAAGCGGUAUAUUUUAUAUUAAAAGUUUAAAAAAUCCUGAUAAGUAGAAAAUAAAAUAAAAAAUUAAAGAAAAUUUGGGGAAAAAAAAUCAUAUUAAUAUAUACUUCAUAUUUUUAUUCACUAAGAAAAUAUCUUUUUCAUAUUUUCUCUAAUUUAUUUUCUGAAAUUUAUAAAAUAAAAUUAUUGUAGUAAAACAAUUUAUAAUAAAAAUUAAAUUUUAUUUUUAAACAGUGAUUGCUAUUUUAUUUACAAAUUAAUAGUUAAUUCAACUCUAAAGCUAAAAUUAGAAUAUUGUUUUUGGUUAUGAAAUCAUGUGUAUGAAAGUAACAACAUUUUAUUUUUUGAGUAUUAAAUCGCACAAUGUAAUUAUAUAUAUUUUUUUCAAUCAAAAAUAAUGUUAUUAAACAUCCAAAUAAAAAAGGGGGAUUUUUUUGGCUUUUUCCUUAUAUUUUGCUCUAAAAAUAGAGAUGAAUAGUGUUGCCUAAAAUUUAAAAAUAUGUUUUAAUACUAAAAUUUGUGCUCAUUAUAAUAUAUGUAAUUGUUAUAUACAUAAAUUUAUGUGUGUGUAUAUAUAUAUAUAUAUAUAUAGACCAAAAAGUUGAAUAUAGACGAUGAUUUAUUUUCUCUUUAUGUAAGCACGGAUCUGAUGCUAUGUAUACAAAAAAGAUAGAAUAACGAAAAGGUAUGAUCUCGAGCAUUGAACCAUUGCAUUUGUAUAUACAUGAAGGAUUCAUGCUUGCAAAAAGAUCCUCACGGAACAAAAUUCAUUGAGAUUUGGAGAAAAACAUAUUAAUUUUUAGUGAGAAAGGAAUAAUAUCGUAACAGUUAAUUUGCAUCUCUAUAGUAAGAAAAUAGAUCGAAUUCCUUCAGCUCCAACUUUUUUAUUUAUUUUCUUUUACAACAAUUUGCUAAUCAUUAUAUUAUUUUAAUCACCAUGCUUGUAAAUUAACAAAUUGUAUAUAACAUCAGGGGGAAUGAACUUAACUAAAUAAUAUUCUAUUUAUCAUGUGAAUCUCUUUUAUAUCUUAUGGUCCACUUGCCGACCCCACUUCCCCAUGCAGCCCACAACAUAUUCAUAUCACCUUUUUUCGUCGUGAAUAUCAUAAAAAAAGUUUGGUGAUAAUCGGUAUCAAACAGUGAAAGGAAUGGUAUAUAUAGAGCAAUCAUAAAAUAAAAAAUAAAAAUUAAAGAAACUUAAGAUCAAACAAGUUUUGCUGAUUAAUAAGUAAUAACCAUAAAAUAUAAAAUAAAUUUAGAUUCAUGAUUUUUUGGGGGUACUUUUAGCUAUAGUUUUAAUAUAUGCAUCGUAGAUAUAUAUUGAUUGAGUUAAUUUAUUUUAUAUAUAAUUAUUUGUUUAAUUGAAACAUAAACCUAAUAUGGAAAUGCGAAUUUAACCUUCUUUUUUUAAGUAUUCUUUAUCUUUUGCAUGAACCUUCCUUUGUAUUUAAGUUGACCCACAACAUAUACACACACAAACCCAUAUUAUUCCGAUACACCUACCCAUAUAUUAUACCAUCUCCUUAAAACACACUACAAGUAAUAAAAAGGACGGAACUUUUUUUUUUAAUAACAUACAUGCACACUUGAUGUUUCUUAUUUCCCCUUGUCUCUCUAUAUAUACACACAUUCAUUCACACACGUUCACACAUAUACAUUCACAUUACUAAUCUCUCAAGAUUUCACAAUUUUCUUGUGAUUUUCUCUCAGUUUCUUAUUUCGUUUCAUAACAUGGAUGCCAUGAGUAGCGUAGACGAGAGCUCUACAACUACAGAUUCCAUUCCGGCGAGAAAGUCAUCGUCUCCGGCGAGUUUACUAUAUAGAAUGGGAAGCGGAACAAGCGUGGUACUUGAUUCAGAGAACGGUGUCGAAGUCGAAGUCGAAGCCGAAUCAAGAAAGCUUCCUUCUUCAAGAUUCAAAGGUGUUGUUCCUCAACCAAAUGGAAGAUGGGGAGCUCAGAUUUACGAGAAACAUCAACGCGUGUGGCUUGGUACUUUCAACGAGGAAGACGAAGCAGCUCGUGCUUACGACGUCGCGGCUCACCGUUUCCGUGGCCGCGAUGCCGUUACUAAUUUCAAAGACACGACGUUCGAAGAAGAGGUUGAGUUCUUAAACGCGCAUUCGAAAUCAGAGAUCGUAGAUAUGUUGAGAAAACACACUUACAAAGAAGAGUUAGACCAAAGGAAACGUAACCGUGACGGUAACGGAAAAGAGACGACGGCGUUUGCUUUGGCUUCGAUGGUGGUUAUGACGGGGUUUAAAACGGCGGAGUUACUGUUUGAGAAAACGGUAACGCCAAGUGACGUCGGGAAACUAAACCGUUUAGUUAUACCAAAACACCAAGCGGAGAAACAUUUUCCGUUACCGUUAGGUAAUAAUAACGUCUCCGUUAAAGGUAUGCUGUUGAAUUUCGAAGACGUUAACGGGAAAGUGUGGAGGUUCCGUUACUCUUAUUGGAAUAGUAGUCAAAGUUAUGUGUUGACCAAAGGUUGGAGUAGAUUCGUUAAAGAGAAGAGACUUUGUGCUGGUGAUUUGAUCAGUUUUAAAAGAUCCAACGAUCAAGAUCAAAAAUUCUUUAUCGGGUGGAAAUCGAAAUCCGGGUUGGAUCUAGAGACGGGUCGGGUUAUGAGAUUGUUUGGGGUUGAUAUUUCUUUAAACGCCGUCGUUGUAGUGAAGGAAACAACGGAGGUGUUAAUGUCGUCGUUAAGGUGUAAGAAGCAACGAGUUUUGUAAUAACAAUUUAACAACUUGGGAAAGAAAAAAAAGCUUUUUGAUUUUAAUUUCUCUUCAACGUUAAUCUUGCUGAGAUUAUUUAUGUUGUAAGUUGUAACAAGUGGAAAAAAUUAAUUAGGUGUCAAACAAAUCUUGUGUUAAUAUUCUUUGUAUAAUGUAUGGAUGAGCUGUUAUUAAUUACUGUAAUUUUUAAUUGGGCAUACUCGUAAUUUUAAUUGGGCAUUAUUGGUUUAUAGGCCCAUUAAAGUGUUUCUUCCUCAUAUUCUUUCUUUGGUCCGUUGCUUAUUCACCAGGGAAAAAUGUUGCAGAAGAUUUCUCAGUCUAUUUCUUUAUGUAACGGCGAUCAAUUUAAGCCGUUAAUAUACCUCGCCGGAGCUCCGACGAACUUCAUCUCUUCCCCUCUCUCAGGUUGUUCUCUACUUUACUUUGUUUGUUUCGUCAAAUUUCAUGUUUAGGUUUCGAGAAAAUUGAUUGUGAAGGAAUUAGUAGAACUUUGAUUGGACUAAUGAUUUUUUUUUGGAAUCUAUAUAUGAAUCAUGAUUUUGGGUUUAUGUAUUGUUUUGUUUCAGGCAAGAAGAAAUCAUCUUCUCUGAGAAUUAAAAGGUAUAUAAAAACAAAACUAAAUUUACAUGAAGGUGAAAUUUUAGUAUAUAGUUUUAAUUUGAUACAUUUUAUUUUGUAGGAUACAACAACUUCAAAGUACAUUAGAAGAUAGAAUAAAUCCACCACUAGUAUGUGGAACAGUAUCGCCACGUCUUAGUGUUCCUGAUCAUAUACUAAAGCCUCUAUAUGUUGAGUCUAGCAAAGUUCCAGAGAUAUCAAGUGAAUUACAGAUUCCUGACUCUAUAGGCAUUGUGAAAAUGAAGAAAGCGUGUGAGCUCGCGGCUCGUGUAUUAGACUAUGCAGGAACUUUGGUUAGAGUAAGUUACUUUUGAAUCUCUAACUAUGAUUGAAUCUCUUUGUUGUAAUGGUUUUUUUGUUUUGUUGUUGCAGCCGUUUGUUACUACAGAUGAAAUUGAUAAAGCAGUGCAUCAGAUGGUUAUUGAGUUUGGUGCAUAUCCUUCACCUCUUGGAUAUGGUGGAUUUCCUAAAAGUGUUUGUACAUCGGUUAAUGAAUGUAUGUUUCACGGGAUUCCCGAUUCUCGUCCGCUACAGGUUUGGAGUAGCAUGAGAAUUCUCUUUUGUAGUAUAUAUGUAACACCCCGGUUUCAGGAAUAUGGUGGUGCAUGCGGAGAGGUUUAUAAUAUAUCACUAAUCAACAACUUCUUGUAUUCAGAAUGGAGAUAUUAUAAACAUCGAUGUUGCGGUUUACUUGGAUGUAAGUAUAUAUUUCUAAGUUUCUUUUGCUAAUCUCAUUCAGAUUUUAAACUUCGGAUGGAUGUAACACUUUGAAAUAGGGGUAUCAUGGAGAUACGUCAAAGACUUUCUUAUGUGGAGACGUCAAUGGAAGCCUUAAACAACUUGUCAAGGUUAAUGUGUGCCUCUAACUUUCGAACUCUUAGGAACCUGUUAGAAGCUGACAUAGUUAUUGUUCUUAAAGGUCACAGAAGAAUGCUUGGAGAAAGGUAUAUCGGUUUGUAAAGAUGGAGCAAGCUUCAAACAAAUCGGGAAGAUAAUCAGGUACUAAAUAGUACUAAUCCCAUUCAAGGGAAGUUAGGAGGAUCAGUUUUAAUUAUAUUUUCAACAGUGAGCAUGCUGCAAAGUAUGGCUAUAAUAUGGAGCGAUUCAUCGGUCAUGGUGUAGGAACGGUAUUACACUCGGAACCUCUUAUAUAUCUUCAUAGUAACUGUAAGUAAUAUAAACUGGCUUUUUCUGUAAGAACUCUUCAUUAUGAUGGAGUUUUUUUUGCUGAAAAACUCUGUUUUGUGCAGAUGAUUAUGAACUUGAAUAUAUGAUUGAAGGUCAAACUUUUACGCUCGGUUAGUAUUAUCUAUAUAGAAUUUGAUGAAUGCAUUUAUACUCUUUUAUGAAGUGUUUGGUUCCUAUUUUUUUUCACAGAACCAAUUCUCACCAUUGGAACAACAGAGUUUGUAACAUGGCCUGACAAAUGGACAAUUGUGACCGCAGAUGGUGGUCCGGCCGCACAGUUUGAGCAUACAAUUCUUAUUACCACCACUGGUGCAGAAAUUCUCACCAUAUCAUCAUGAAUUAUAUCACAAUGUUACGGAAUUUACAUUAUGAACCAUCCAUUUCUGUUGUAAAUAAAAGAAAAUAUAAACUGUUUGGUUCUGAGCAGUUGAUGUUGGUGUCGUUGGCAAUUCCUAUCCCUGUGAUAAAUGGUGGAUUGGUUCUGAGCAAAAAUUAAUCACAUGAACAUUCAAAUUAAAUCUAAAAUCGAGUGAUUAAAUAUAAAAAUUAAUCAUAUGAAACAAAUUAAUUUUAUGGCACCUCUAAAAUGAUUUUGGAUAAAGAUCACUUGUGAUGUGAAAACAAAUUAAUUACUGGAUACAAAGUUAACUCGGCACCAAAAAAUCAUUGCAAUGUGAUGAGUAGAUUCAUUCAAUAAUAUCGGAACUAACUUUAACGUUGUGAUGUGAAAACAAAUUUAAUUUGGCCUUUCUAACGAUCAAAAGACUGGAUACCGAGUAAUGUUUGUUUUGUUACAUACUUUUGUAUAGGACUCGACAUAAAACUAGAAAUCCGAAACCGAACCAAAUAGUUAUAAAACCCGAACUGAUAAUGAAUAUAUACCAUGCACAGCUGAAUCUUAUAGUAAAUAUAUACAUUUUGAUUAGUUUAUUAUGAGUUUUUAGUUUUUUACUAUGUUUCAAAACAUAGUGGUUGUGGUUUGUUUAAUAAUGGUUUUAGAAGAAUCUUACUUUAUUAUCUAAAAAGUAAAUAACAAUUUAGUGUACCAUUAACAUUUUAAUAAGAUGACAUUAACAAACUUAAUUAAUAUCAGAAUCUUCUAUAUCUUAUGUCAGGGUAAAGUAAUUUUUUUUCUUUAAAUGGUAGAAAAUCAGGAUAAAAGUAUAUGUCCCAUAGUUUUUAAAAAUAAUGAUAUGUAUAACUAAAUAUAUUGAAACUUAAUUAUGUUAUCUUUUUUUUUUGUUAAAACUAGAUUAAGAUUAAAUGAAAGAAGACACAUGUCACAUCUUAGAGCAUGUGUUUAGAAGAAAUCUCUCUAUUAUCUAAAUAAAUAGUAAUCCAUAAUUUUUAACAUUUAAAAGAAAAUGACAUUUACAAAAUUUUAAUUAAUACUAGAAUCUUCUAUACCUUCUAAUAGUUAAAGUAAUUUUGUUUUUCAUUAAAUGAUUAAAACAAACUAGGAGAAAAGUAUCUUUACUUGUUAUAAAGAAUUAUGCCACAAUCCACAUGUUAGUUUCUCAUAUCAUGAAAUCUUGUAUAUAUUUUCAAGUUUCCAGUCUUCCAGGCUUUAAUUUGUUUUGAAGUUGUUUAUCUGACAAGCGAUAACAACACAGAGAGAACUCGUCGAUAAAUUUCAAAGAUGGAGAAAACUGAGUGGUCUGAUUUACCUGAAGAACUCCUAGAUUUAAUUGCAAACCGUUAUUCCUCCAACAUUGACGUCCUACGUAUCCGUAGCACCUGUAAAUCCUGGCGUUCUGCGGUUGCGAUGUCUAAAGAGCGUCUUCAGUUUCGCUUUGAACGCUACCUUCCUACCUCCAACAAGAAGAUAAAGGCUCAUCUCUCUCCCACCACUUUCUUCCGUAUAACUCUCCCUUCUUCAUGUCCUAACAAAGGAUGGCUAGUAAGAACUAGACAAGCCUCCAAAAUGUAUCGUAAGAUUACUCUCUUGUGUCCUCUCUCUGGCGAGCGCAUCACCCGUUCCCACCAAACCCUAGACCUUUUGAAGGUUGGCGUUUCAGAGAUUCGCCAAUCUUACGAGAUUCAAAUAUUCGAUGGAUUGAAGGACGAAAAGAUACCAUUAGAUUCAGAGAUAUUCUCUAAUUAUAUCAAGAAUAGUGACAAAAUACCAUCAGGUGUAUUCUUUAGAGUUGCUUUCCUAGACAAUAUUUUUUUUGCAGUCAAUUACCACGAUAAUAAAAUAUGGUGUUGUAAGACUAGAGAAGGAAGUAGAAGUUGGACAAAAAUUAAAAACCAAGUCGAAGAUUUCUCGGACAUUAUACUUCACAUGGGACGUAUCUAUGCCGUGGACUUAAAAGGAGCAAUUUGGUGGAUUAGUUUAUCACAGCUUACCAUUGUUCAACAGACAUCUUCAACUCCGUUGGACUACUAUAAAUAUGAUAGUUGCCAAGACACGAGGCUCGUGGAAUAUUGUGGAGAUCUAUGCAUUGUUCAUGAACUUAGCAUAACUCGAAAUCAUAUCCAGAGGACCGUUGGUUUUAAGGUUUAUAAGAUGGACGAGGAUUUGGCAAAAUGGGUUGAGGUUAGUUGCUUGGGAGACAACACACUCAUUGUUGCUUGCAACAGUUGUUUUACUGUCGUAGCCUCUGAGUACCAUGGAUGUUUGAAGAAUUCUAUUUACUUCUCUUAUUAUGAUGUCAAGAAGGCCGAAAAUAUAAAAGUGUUCAAGCUUGAUGAUGGUAGUAUCACCCAGAGGACUGAUAUUUCUUCUCAGAGUUGUUUUCACAUGUUCUCUCUUCCCUUCCUCAACUAUUAAUUACCUUUAAUUUAAAAAUCUUGAUUAUUAAAUUAAAGAUUUUUUUAUUUAAUUUAAGUAUAUUUCAAAUAUGAAUUUAAUGCAUAUCUAUGUUACUUAUAAUUAACAGAAAAUUUAAUUAAAUAAAAACUAAUUAAAUUAAUAAAUUAAAUUUAAAAUCAUGAAAAUAAUAUUGUAUUUUUUUUCUCAGGAAUAAUACUAUAAUUUAACUUUUCACAAAAUGUUUUUUGAAACGAUCAUAUUUCGAAAUUUUGAAUGUGGCAAUGAGGUUUAGAAUGGAAGGAAAAGUAAAUACAUGGUAAAGUAAAUAACAAUGUAUGUGACUGCAUUUAUAAAAUUAUAAUCUAAUAAAUAAAAUUUAAAGUGAAACAUUAGUUCCUAAGAAUAAUACAUUAGAGAGAGUUGUUAUUUAUUAUUAAAUUUUUACAUAAAUGAAAAUAAAAUAAUACCAAACUCAACAAUGUAAUUAUCCAUCUUCUAAAAACGUAAAUAAUCAAGAAUCAUUAUUUUCAUGAGUUAUAAAACAAAAUAUAUAAAAAGUGAUAUGUAAGCUGUUAGAAAAAAUUCUAUGUAAUUUAUGUAGCACAACUCUUUAACAUGAUCAAAAUGAAGAAAAAGUUUGAGAUUUCAUUACUUGAAUCAAAUGUUGAAUCAAAGGCUGACUUUAAACAAAAUAUUUAAAAUAAGUUUUUUUUUCUUUGAGAAAAAUGAUAGUCCUUAUGUUUUUAGUUGAUAUUUGAGGAUAAAUUUUUGGAAAUUCACAUGUCUUUGGAAUCAUAAGAUCAUAUGAGCAAGAAGAUUUAGAUUUCGAACCUAUUUGAAAUUCCCUUUUCAAAAGUAUGAUUUGAUAUGCAGCGGUGAGAAAAAAACAGAGAAGUAGAACAAAAAUUCUAUUUUGUUGAAUAGAUUUGAGAAUUAAUUAUAACGGUUAAUUUACUUAGAGAAUUAGGAAUUCAAAAGAAAUUGAGCCGUUUUAUAAUUAAGUUACCACUAAAAUCCGCUAAUUUAUUUACAAAUAUUUGCUUAAACACACACAUGCACUCGAGGAAACGAUAAUCGUUUUGAAAUCAAAUGACGGGGUUUCAGCCAAUAAUACGGCGUCGUUUAACCGUGGAGAGGUUGGAAAUUUACACGGUGGCGUUUAAAGGUUAGUUAACUUAGCGAAAGGAUUUAGACGAUGUUGUUUUGGAGUUUUAUAUGUUUUCUUGUGUGUCAAGCUUUGCUCCUUAAGUCUGAUUUUUUUGUCUAAAUUCUCGAGUUUCUUCCAUACCUGUAAAAAUUCGUUAUCCUAAUAGUUUUAGAAGAACUAAAUUUCUACAGCUUUUCUUUGUGAAUUCGAUUUAGUACAGAAUAACAUACAUAAUAAAAGAUUUUAAAAAAAAAUCAUGUCUAACAGAGAGGCAUGUUCAUCUAACAAAACUAUUAUCUUUUAUUAUACACAUACAUAUAUAAGAUGCCAAAUAUUUUAUUUUCAUCUAAGAGAUGUCUAUCUAAUUAAAUAAUGUGGGACAAAUAUGUAGUUAGAAUAACGAAUUCAAAGCUUCACAAGUCGCACGUUUUUCAUUUUUCUUUCUGUAGUUUAGGGACCGGCCAAAAGUACAUCAACUUAGACCCAAGCUAAGACCCAAAAAUUUGGACCAUUUUCUAACAACUUGCCGUCCAUGGAAACCGAAUCAAAAAUAGCAUCAUUCGUUGGUGACCCAUUUUUGGGAUAUUUAGCAUUAUCCCAUUCACCAUUUAUCAGCCAUCAAUCAUUCAUCCAAUAUAUAUACACAUAGACAUUUCGUAAAACUCAAAUCACUCACCACAUAAAACCAAAGUCCCAUCUCUUAAAAAACUAAUCAUUUCAAAGUUUUGUCUCUAGUCUUUCUUUUUAUUGAGCAAUGGCUUCUUCUACAAUCUCUCUCCAAUCUAUCUCCAUGACAACUCUCAACAAUCUCUCAUAUAGUAAACAAUUUCAUCGAAGCUCUCUUCUUGGUUUCUCUAAAUCCUUCCAAAAUUUUGGUAUCUCAUCUAACGGUCCAGGUUCCUCCUCUCCGACAAGUUUCACGCCCAAGAAGAAACUCACUCCUACUCGAGCUCUCUCUCAGAACUUGGGAAAUACCGAAAACCCCAGACCAAGUAAGUUUAUUUUCUUCUUGAUCUUUUCGCUUAAGUUUCGAAAAAUCAUAUAAACAGAGCUUUUUCCAAAAAAAAUGAAAUACUUUUUUUUUUUUUUGCUAAACUGCAAAUAUCAUAUAAAUGAAGGGAAAGGUUUACAUGAGUUAGAACCUAAACAAAAAAAUGAAAUACUUACAAAACAUUUUCUAAAUACAUUAUCUUUAUAUUAAAAUCAGUUUUUCAUUUCAUAAUUUUUCUAACUCCAUUAAAUUUAUAUGAUUCCAGAGCCUUAAAACCAAAAAUUUGCAAACUUGAUAAUUUAAACAUAAUAUCAGAUCUCAAAAUCAAGAACGUAUAAUUAAUUCACAAAUUGAGUUUUUAAUUUUUCAGGCAAAGUUCAAGAACUGAGCGUGUACGAAAUCAAUGAUUUAGAUCGACACAGCCCAAAAAUUCUUAAAAACGCAUUCAGCUUUAGGUUUGGUCUCGGAGAUCUCGUCCCAUUCACAAACAAACUCUACACCGGCGAUCUCAAGAAACGCGUGGGAAUCACGGCUGGUCUCUGCGUUGUGAUCGAACACGUCCCUGAGAAGAACGGUGAUAGAUUCGAAGCUACGUACAGCUUCUACUUCGGAGACUAUGGCCACUUGUCCGUACAAGGACCAUACUUGACUUACGAGGAUUCGUUCCUUGCCAUCACUGGUGGCGCUGGAAUCUUUGAAGGUGCCUACGGACAGGUUAAGCUUCAACAGCUUGUGUAUCCGACAAAACUGUUCUACACUUUUUAUCUUAAAGGAUUGGCUAAUGAUUUGCCACUGGAGCUCAUAGGAACUCCGGUACCACCGUCUAAGGACGUGGAGCCAGCACCGGAAGCUAAGGCGCUUAAGCCCAGUGGAGUUGUAAGCAACUUUACAAAUUAGUGAAUAAAAUUAGUCUUAUCUUUCUCGUGUCCUGUAUAUAUAAUAAUCUUUUUCAUAGAGAAUUUUAUAUUCUUAUACUUGUAAUCAAAUAAUUUGUAUGGAUCUUAGUAUCCUUGUGAAUGCAGUAUGUUUGAGUUGAAAAAUACUUGUAAUCGAAUCUUUAGUUUUGAGUUGUCCCCUUUUGGGGAGUAAAAUAUCUUCUUCUUAUUUUUAUUGGGUUGAAAAUAGGUUUUUGCAUAGUUUUUUUUAUCGACCUUUCAAAUACGUCACAAUUACAUUUAUAGGAGUUAGGGUUGGUGUUGUAAUCCAUAUACAUUACCACUAUGAAACUUUCAGCGAAUACAAGCAUAUACUAUCAAACUCCAAGCGAAAUAAAUACUCACAAAAGGCUCACCAUGGUCGUAAAGUGAGGAUUGAAGAAAAAUGAUCAUGUUGAUGGAUCAAAUAAAUCUUCCAUCGCCUGAUUUCAUCAUGAUGUACACUCAUCUCAAGAACAAGAAAAUGAUACUAAGAAGAAAAAAGAUAAGCUGGAUUAGGCACGAAGGUUUGGAAGAAACCCAAACUCUAACCCAAAUAUUGUGGAUAAAUAAAAAACAAUCAACUUUCGAGUUCCUUCUCCAGCCAACUUAUGGGUUGCAAAGAUACUUUUACAUAUAAAAGGGAUGCUGACCUAGUGCGAAUAUCAAGAAAUUGUGUGUGUUUUAUGUGCUCCGGGUUCAAUCUCUAUUUGGUAUACAAAUGACUGUUUUUUAAAUCCGGAUAUCUAAAGUCUAACUUUGAGUACUAGGAAGAUUAUAAGGCAAAGAUCUAGAACUCUUAUAGCUUAAAUAAAAAAUGAUUUUACAUGUAAAAGACAGAAAUUACCUAAUAUUAGUUAAGAGAUGAUAUAUUUUCAAGAAAUAAUGAUUCUAGUUGUAUAAAAUACCUAGUUUUUUUUUUGUAUUUUUUUUUGAAUAUUUAGAAGUGCAAGUCCGAAGGCCAUACAUUUCCUAGAGAUAUGAUCCACACCAGGUUAAAUUCAUUUCUUUUGGAGAAGAGAUCCCUCCCAACAGACUUCGAACCCAACACCUCUACCUGCGAGAUUUUUUUUUUGUUAUUCGUAUUAGAUGUGAUUUUGGUGCACCACGCUAGCGUUGGAGAUGAAACUCCCACAUUUUCGCACUGAAUCGACUAUUAAAGCUUGGUCUAAGCUAUCAAUUUAUUACAGUCUAUGCCAGAAAUUUAUGGCAUCCUACCUGAUAUAAAAAGCUUUAUGGCAUCCUACCUGAUAUAAAAAUCAGUGUUCUAUCCUUUAAGUUGUUCAUGUAUUUUCAUUCCAAGAGCAGCCAAUGUUGAGACAGAUUCUCUUGCUAAGCUUGCCUUAUCCGUUUAUGCUGAAAACAUUGUUAGUUAAUCCAAGUAUUGGCGUUUCAAAAAAGAAGUGAUUUUGGUGCAAAUAUCUUUUCACAGAAUAUAAAAUAAUUUUUAAUCAAUUUUACAUACAUGUAUCCGGGACAAAAAUAUAGUUAGAUUCAUUACAUUUAGAAGGUUUUUUAUUUUAUUUUUGUAGUUUAGGGACCGGCCAAAAGUAUUUCAACUUAAAUCCAAGACCCAAUGCUUAGAUCACGUUCCGACCAUGGAAACCAAAUCCAAAUUCCUCCCAAAGCAUCUUUUUAGUUUGAGACCCACUUUUGGUAAUUUACGCACGUGCUACUUCAUCAAUCAUCCCCAUUCAUCACUCAUCCAACAUGUCUAUCUAUAAAUAGACGGAGAUAUUUCGUAGAACUCAAAUCACUCACCACAUAAAGUAAAAGUCUCAUCUCUUCAUAAAAUAGCUUUAAACCAAUCAAGUAGAGUUUCUUCUCAAGUCUUUUUAUUUUAUUUUUAUCAAUGGCUUCUUCAGCAGUGUCUCUCCAAUCCAUCUCUAUGACAACUCUCAACAAUCUUUCAUGUAAUCAACAAUUUCAUCGAAGCUCUCUUCUUGGUUCCUCUAAAUCCUUCCAAAAUCUUGGUAUCUCAUCUAACGGUUCAGAUUUCUCCUAUCCAUCAAGUUUCACUGCCAAGAAGAACCUCACUGCUUCUCGAGCUCUCUCCCAAAACGGGAAUAUCGAAAACCCUAGACCAAGUAAGUUAAUUGAUCCUUUUUUGUCUUCCAAACUUGAUUAAAUAUAUGAUUACAGAGACUCAAAAUCAAGAACACAAUUCACAAACUGAGUUUGUUUUUUCAGGCAAAGUUCAAGAACUGAGUGUGUACGAAAUCAACGAAUUAGAUCGACACAGCCCCAAGAUUCUUAAAAACGCAUUCAGCUUAAUGUUCGGUCUCGGAGAUCUCGUACCAUUCACAAACAAACUCUACACAGGCGAUCUCAAGAAACGCGUGGGCAUCACGGCAGGUCUCUGCGUCGUCAUCGAACACGUCCCAGAGAAGAAAGGUGAAAGAUUCGAAGCUACUUAUAGCUUCUACUUCGGAGACUAUGGCCACUUGUCCGUUCAAGGACCAUACUUGACUUACGAGGAUUCGUUCCUCGCCAUCACUGGUGGUGCUGGAAUCUUUGAAGGUGCCUACGGACAGGUCAAGCUUCAACAGCUUGUGUAUCCGACAAAACUGUUCUACACUUUUUACCUUAAAGGGUUGGCUAAUGAUUUGCCGUUGGAGCUCACCGGAACACCGGUACCGCCGUCUAAGGACAUAGAGCCGGCGCCGGAAGCUAAGGCACUGGAGCCUAGCGGAGUUAUAAGUAACUAUACCAACUAAUUCAUGAAAUUAAAAUGUUUCUCGUAUCGCUGUGUAAUGAUAUAAAGAUUUGUAGUUUUGUGCUCUUAUCUGUAAUAAAAUCAUUGAGGAAUAAUAUCUCGAGUAUGUUUUAAGUCGUUUGGACGUUGGUACACGAAUAUAUGAAAAGUCUUUGUAAUCUUUUGGUCACUCUCAAUGAUUUUGAAUUAAAAAUAGUUUUAGUUAUAGAAAUGAUUUUAUGUAUUGCACAAGAAAAUCAAAUAAAAAGAACUAUUAAAUAAUGAAAAUAUAUAUCUUAAAUAAAAGAGUAUAACAAUUGAAUUCUUAAAAAUCAUACAGUAUCUCAACAAAUCCAAGAAACAACGAAACGAAAAAUUGAUGUAUCAUUUGGUCGAGUUAAGAUACAAAAUGAAAAAUUACAUUUUUUUUUGUAGCCAUCAUCGACAAAAAAAAAUGUCUUAGUCGCAGAUUAAAUGAAAUAAGGACAAAUGAUGGCUACAAAAAAAUAUGUAAUUUAAAACCGUCCCUAAAGGUAAAUCUGACUCAUCUUAAGAGAUUGUUUGAUUUUUGAUAUAUAAGUCAUAAGUGGUUGACUAAUGUCAAAUAAGUGACGCCUUUUGAUGACAUGGAGAAGUAUGCAGAUGACAUUGAUUGAUACGGAUGGAAUGGAGAAGUUAAUGAUCUACAUGUCACACUCCUCAUUUCAAAAAUAGUUAACGGUGAUUAUGAGUCUUCAUCGAAUACUCAUUUUAAAGGAGUUGCUGAUAAAAAAAAAAAGAGUGGAUGUUAUGGGCAUGUAUUUAAGGGCAUGUAUUUAAACAAGAAGUUACCAAUCGUAGCCUAUGACUAGGAUUAUGGCAUGCAUGAUUACCAUGAUGUGGAUCAGGAUAUAGAGUAGAGAAUGUUAACGCAAGAGACAUUGCUAGAUCAAGAAUUAACUCAUACAAAAAUGAUGACCGGAGAUUGAUGAUAUCAAAUUAAAUUAAGUAACAUAGACUCACAAACGCAUGGUGGUAAUUUGAAGCCUAUGCAUUCAAAGAAUGUUGGAGUCAUGGAUCCGAAUAGAAUUGUUGAUACUAGUGGGACCAGUCCUUCCUUGAGAAAAAGGAUGCAUGAACCAUCUCGUGAUUGUAGUGCUAUUAUGUGUGUACACGGCAAAUUGACACAACCGAACCGACCAAGUUAUAUAUAUGUCACUAAAACAGUCUGACCAACAAGAGUUUGAAGACCUGCAGGCUACGUUUAUAUCUUUUGACUAUUAUAGUAUGUUCCCAUUACUUUGAGAUCUCGUAGUACUCAAUAAAUAUUACACGGUUUUAAGUCGAUAAAUAAUAAAUACAUAAAAUUCUCUAGCUAACGCUUUUAGACAAUUCGAAACCGAGUGGAAACUACACAAAGCAUCUUUUGACAUAUACGCACGUGUUACUUCAUCAUCGUCCAAUAUAAAUAGACUCAUUACUAAACUCAACAACCAUUAAAACCAAAGAUCAAUCUCUUCUUAAUAGUCAAUCAUAUAUCAAAAAAUUUAAACUCUUCUUGAUCAAUGGCUUCUUCUUCUGCUGCUAUGUCUCUUGAAUCCAUCUCUAUGACAACUCUCAACAAUCUCUCUCGUAAUCAUCAAUCUCACCGCAGUUCUCUUCUUGGUUUCUCAAGAUCUUUCCAAAACCUUGGAAUCUCAUCUAACGGUCCAGAUUUCUCCUCCCGAUCAAGAUCUACUACUUCCAAGAACCUCAACGUUACUCGAGCUUUCUUCUGGAAUUGGGGCAAGAAGACCGAAAACUCCAGACCAAGUAAGUUUAAUAGUUUAUAGAUCCUUUUGUCUUUUAGUACACUGCGACUAAGUCAACGCCUGUUAAUCCGAUAUUUUUCCUAGAUUUGAGACAAAUCAAGAUUUAAAGACUAAUAAUCCUUUUUGUUAGCUCAGAAAUCAAAAUGCUUUAUUUCAUAAGCAAAAUCGAUUAGAUCUUUAAAUGCCCUGCUCAAAAUUGAUUGGUCUAAAAAAUAAUCAGAUCUUAAAAAAACAAAGUACCGAAUUCAUAAAUUCGAGUUUUAAUUAUUCAGGUAAGAUCCAAGAACUAAACGUGUAUGAGCUCAACGAAGGAGAUAGAAACAGUCCAGCAGUUCUUAAACUCGGCAAGAAACCAACAGAGCUUUGUCUCGGAGAUCUCGUCCCAUUCACAAACAAACUCUACACCGGCGAUCUCAAGAAACGCGUGGGAAUCACGGCAGGUCUCUGCGUUUUGAUCCAACACGUUCCUGAAAAGAGCGGUGACAGAUUCGAAGCUAGUUACAGCUUCUACUUUGGUGACUAUGGUCACUUGUCUGUACAAGGACAAUACUUGACUUAUGAAGACACGUUCCUCGCUGUCACUGGUGGCUCUGGAAUCUUUGAAGGUGCGUACGGACAGGUUAAGCUUCGUCAGCUUGUGUAUCCGACAAAACUGUUCUACACUUUUUACCUUAAAGGGUUAGCUAAUGAUUUACCGCUGGAGCUUACUGGAACGGCGGUUACGCCGUCGAAGGAUGUGAAACCGGCACCGGAAGCUAAGGCGAUGGAGCCUAGUGGAGUUAUAAGUAACUUUACUAAUUAAGUAAUUAGCUGUUUAAUAGUUGUUUUGUUUUGUAAUAGAAUAUUUUGAUGAGUUGUGUGAGGUUAGUUAAUGAUGUGUUGAGGGAAUAAAGUAUUUAUUUUGAUGUGACUUUAUUGAUUACAACUGGUCUUUCUACAACGUGGAACUGUUGUACUCGAUUUCAAAGUAAAACUUUUUACAUUAGUUUCGGUAUUUUCACGGAAUAAAUUGAUAGCUAGAACCUUUAAUCUUAUGGUUUAAAAUGGUACACUCAUAUACACAGUUAGGGUAGUGGAGUUAAUGCUAGUAAUUAGUAACACAAUAUUUUUUGGUUCGUUAUGGUUUUGGUGUUAAUUGUGUUAAUGUCAUAAUGCUUUAACGCUAAUUUGUUGUUGGCACAGAUAUUUAAAACUAAAAAAAGCAACCUAGUUAUUGCUGGCUAUCUUUUUAAAUUGAGAAGUUAACAUCUUGUCAAGUGAAUCGUGUAAUAUUGUUAUACUCUAAAGAUCGAUAUUAUUGUGUCUACCAGUCAAAACAUGUGUUGGAGGGAAAUUUUAUUUGUAGGUUCAUCAUAUGUCAGGAACAUUAUUGUCAUGUUUCUGUAAGCUUUCUGACAUUUAAGUUCAGAUUUUGACCAUAAGUUUUGAUCAUAAAUGAGAAAAGAACAAAGUUAAGUUUAGUUUUGCGAAUGUUAAAAAAAAUAAAUAUCUUAUUUGCACUUUUUGAAUUAUUUACCAAAUAUAAAAACCAAGAUGGUGUUUUUUUUGUAAUACCAAAAAAGAGAGAAUUUUAGCUACGAGAGAAUGCAAAAUUCGGAUUUGUGAUCCGUUUUAUUGAAAAAGAUUUUAGUUUCAUAGAACAUAUAUCAAGUAGUAUACAAAUUGAAAAAUAGGGUCUGAUAGAUCCGAGACACUUGGGUAUUAUCACCUAACUUUUAAACGUUUAUGCCAGUUUUUUGACAAACAAAUCACGAAGUAUUUGAGGAUAAAUACAGUAUUUGUUUAUGUUUUCUAUCUUUUUUUAGGAGGAUGAGUUCAUUGGUUUGAUCUUAAACAAUUGAAAAUUUAUAGGUUACCACCAAUUUUGCGAUUUUUUUUCUUCUUCUAUACUUUAGAUUUAAGUUUAUAUAUAGAUAUUUUCGUUUGAUAUCAAUAUGGGAAGCCCACAAAGUUGGGGAGUUUAGUGGUACCUUUUUUUUUGGUUCACAAUUGCAUACGAAUAUUGGGGAGUUUAGUGGUACUAUUGCAUACGAAUAUUGGAGAUACGAGAAAGGGGUGGAAAAAAUUGAUGAUAAAUUGAGCCCAAGUAGGAAACAAUACACAAGGCCGUAUAUAAAGUUGGCAUGUUGGGUUCAAUACAUGAGGCCGUCUUUUUGUUCGGCCGCGGCCAGUGGUGAACACUGAAUAUGGCCUUUUGAGACUCCGAGGGGACAAUUAUAAUCCAACACUAAAAUACAUCUCUAAACUCUAUUUGCCAACUAAUUUCUUUAUUUAAAAUACGUUUCAAUCUAAUCAAAACAGAUAAGCCUGUUAAACACAAUUUUGAUUUCUCGAGACUACGAAUAGGUGGAUCUAUUUGUAUCAUAACAUCAUAACAUAUAAAUCGAUAUUUAAAAUUUUGAGUAAUAAAUUUGAUGUUGGUCUCUAACAAUUUGCGGGUAAUUUCUUGAUAUUUUGGACAUCACCCGAACAUAUUAGCUCAUUACACACCAAUUUCUAUAGAGGCAACAUAUUUUCUUAUCAUUAAAGUUGACAGCUAUUAGAGCCCUUAAUCACGUUUGAUUUCAUAUCUAAUUCCAAAUUAUAUGGAUAUAACAACAGCAUAGCAUAUAAAUUGAUAUGUGUAGCAUUAGGUUAUAUCUUUGACCGGGAAAUGCAUUGGCAGGCCAUUAUACUGGGAAGAUGCAUUCGCAUAUAUAUUAGUAGGUGUACUUAGUAAUCGUCUACUUGACAUAAUUAAAAUUACCGGUCAAAAACACGAGAUAUAUAGGAACUCAUAUUGUGUGGAUAUAUAUAUUAGUUUACAUGUGUAUUUAUGGAUAAGGUUAUAACGAAUUCAACAAAUUCUCAAGGUCCUAUGAAAUUUCAACAAGUAUAUUACAGUUUUUUUUUUAUAUAUGGCUUUUCUUCUCCCAUGUUUCGGCUGUCUACGAAGAGACAUUUGGCUUUUCAUAUUGGGAUAUUGAAAAAUACAUUUUCAACGUUUUAUAUAUGAUUUUGUGUGGGUGAAAUUAAUACUUACAGAACAAAAGAGCUCAUGCACGUUUAGUGUUAUUUUGGCGGCUGUUUUUAAGGAUUUGCAUAUAUUCUUUCCCACGUAUUGAAUUCUAUAAAUGACAUAAUAAUCAAACUUGUAAAAAUAAUAGAAUGAAUAGUUUAUAGUCUUCCAAAAUUCGAUUUCUGUUGUAGUGGAAUCGCAGACAUUUUCUAACUUAUGAAUGUUGUUAUAGGACUUCUUUAAACCUUGGUUGGAUAUACCCAAAUAAAUAUAAAGUUCACACGAAAAAAACUUGGAAUCACAUCCAGGAAUAUUCACCACUGGAUCAAUACUACUAUACAACAAGGGAAAAAAAAAUAUUUAACUUGGGAAGGUAUAUACUUAUUUUAUAAACAAAAGCAAGAUUCGCCUUGUAAUGCGACGGCCCGACUUCUCUCUUUCAAAUAAUGAUCCUUGAGAAACCCUAUAGAGCCAUAUAUACGUUGUCUUUAUAAAGAGACAUAACUCAUCUCUUCUUGACUAACUUUAUAGUUAAAGUUAUCAAUUAUUCGAAAACAAAGCUGGUUUUUUGUUUUGUCCCUUAAACCAGCAUGAUCAAGAACUUAAGUAAUAUGAAGAAUGACAAUCAGAAACGUGAAAAAUGUUGCGAGUACAUCGAAGCUCUCGAAGAAGAACGUCGCAAGAUCAAUGUUUUCCAACGCGAGCUUCCUCUUUGCGUAGAGCUCGUGACUCAAGGUACAUACAUAUGCAUUUACAUUUCAUAUAAGAUAUAAUGAGUUUAUAUAUAUGGAUUAAAUGUUAGAUCUAAAGAUUUUUAAAAAAUGUUUUAUGGAAUUUAGCGAUUGAGGCGUAUAAGAGGGAGAUAUCAGGGACGUCGACGGAUAACUUAUACGGACAGUCGGAGUGCUCAGAGCAGACCACCGGAGAAUGUGGGCGCAUCUUGGAUCUGUUCAUACCAAUCAAACACUCUUCGACCUCCAUAGAAGAAGAGGUUGAUGACAAAGAUGAUGAUGAUGAAGAACACCAGUCUCAUGAAACCGACAUAGAUUUUGAUGACAAGAACAUGAAAUCUGAAUGGCUCAAGUCUGUUCAGCUCUGGAACCAAUCCGACGCAGUUGUUUCUAAUAAUAGACAGGUAAGAUUUUUAUUUUAUUUUAUUUUUUCUUUGUUUACAUUUGUGUUUUUGUUUGCCUUGAAUUACAUUUACUGUAUUGUUUCCAAACCAGCCUAUUGACGUUGUUAAUUGUUAACGUAAAGACUAAACGCAUAACCUUCUGUGUACUUUAUGCGAUUGUGUUUGUAACUUACAACUUCACAAAUAGAUUAUUCUUUUUUCUUCCAGUUUUUGUUUUUUUUAAUAGACCGAAAAAGGAUGGGUGCACAAAAAGAUAGUAAAUUGCUCACAAAAAGAUUUUGUUUUGUAAUUUAAGUUUCUAAUAGCAUUUUGCGUAUUCAGGAUCGCUCACAAGAAAAGACAGAGACGCUGGUAGAGUUGAUAAAAAUAAACGAUGAAGCAGCGAAGAAAAACAACAACAUAAAAUCACCGGUGACUACUAGCGAUGGUGGCAGUGGCGGUGGCGGUGGCAGAAGAGGGCAGAGAAAGAAUAGGCGGUGUUGGUCGCAAGAGUUACACAGACGCUUCUUGAACGCUCUUAAACAACUUGGUGGCCCUCAUGGUGCGUUUCUUGGUUUUAAGUUAAAACAUAUAUAUCAGUAGUCAUAUCUUUUUGUUAGGGCUCAUGAAGUUUAAUUAAUUCGUAAUGACCUUUUUGUUCACUAAAUUUUGAAGUAGCUACGCCGAAACAGAUAAGAGAUAUAAUGAAGGUUGAUGGGUUAACAAAUGAUGAAGUCAAAAGUCAUUUACAGGUUAGUAAAUCAUAUUCCAUGAAAAAUACAUGUAACUAAUAUGUAAAAGGUAUAUAUUAAUUUCAUCAUUUUAGUUACAAAUGUUUUUAUAAUUUAGAAGGAAAAUAAUAUUUAUUGUUUCAUAUUUUUUUUAAUGAUAAAUAGAAAUAUAGGCUGCAUGCAAGACGGCCAAGCCAAACAACACCGAACAACAGAAACUCUCAAACGCAACAUUUCGUGGUGGUUGGUGGAAUAUGGGUCCCACAGACUAACCAUUCAACGGCCAACGCAGUCAACGCCGUCGCAUCGGGUGAGACCACCGGGAUUUAUGGGCCUAUGGUCAGUUCGUUGCCGUCCGAGUGGCCGAGGCAUUCCAAUUUUGGUAGGAAGAUUUCGGAAGAUAGAUCAAGAUGCUCUAACAACGGAUUUUUUCGGUGUAGCUCACCAGCUAUGUCUUGUUCUACUCGUACAAAGACGAAAGAUGCAAAAAUAAUAUCAUAAAUUUAAUUUUUGAUUAUUUAUUAAGAGAAAAAAGUUAUAGACAUUAAUAUUGUGAAGAGUGUAUAUAUAUAGAUGUUGGAGCGUGACUCUAUGUUAUUUUUAGUUUCUUGGUUUUUUUCUAUUAGCCGAUGAUAUCUUUGAUCAAAGAUCCAUAUUAGCUAAUGCAUACUAUAUUUUUUUACGUCGUGCAAUAUGCAUAUCGAUGAUAAUAAGUUAAUAACACAAAAUUAUUAGAUUACUAGUUGAAGAAUCGUAUAUAGAAAGAAUCGUAAUUAUAUGUAGAAUGAUGGUAUAUUAUCAGCAUAUAUUUUUAUAGAGGCUUUAGCCACCAAAAUUAAUAAAUGUCAGUCACAAACUCAAAUUAAUUAAUUUCGUCCUUAACAUAUGUAUGUCGGCCAGGUUUCUAUUUGCUAUAGUAAUAUAAGAUACACAGAAACAUUGUAGAAAUGUAAAAUGUCUUCGAAAACAGAAGAAAAAUACAUAUAUAAACUUUUUUGAAUGAAAAUAAAAAAAAUUAUGCCAUACAGAAGGAUCGGAACUCGGUAGAAUAUGCCGGAAUCUGAAGAGCAUAAUCUGCAAAUAUGUUUUUCAGGUUAAACUUUAUUCUCUUGUUGCUUGUACUGGAUAUUAACACAAAUGUGCACGUUGGGCUCCUUCUCGUGGAGUGAAUUAUUCUUUAUUUGUUCCUUUUACUUUUGUAAAUACAAUUUUUCCAUAUAAGUAUAUAACUGUGUAAAUAUUAAACCCAAAAUAUGUUAAAAGACAAGUUUUUUUGUAACUUAAGGGCAAGAAACAAGGUGUAAAGCCACAUGAAAAUUGCUGACCAUUCUAACUCUCGACACUACUAUACAAUUAAUAUCUCUUGACUUGUACUCAUUCUCUAUAACAACAACAAUUGUUGGGUUUUCUUGUUCGCUCUCACUGUUGUUUAUUAAGUGUUGUUCGUUUGCGAGGUUUUCUGAAUCAAUAAUCAAAAUGAUUUCGAUUGAUAAGUUAUCCUUUAAUCAAAAUUUCUUGGUUCCUAUGGUUUCAUCACCUCAAACAUAAAAAAAUCAUACCAAGUUGUUAAAUAUCUUUAAAAAUUCCUACCAAGUUACUAAAUAAGUGUUCACAAAUUUAGGGAUCCUUUCAUGUGACUCUAUGAGCCAUGUGACCUAUUUUUCUACUACCUUUAUAACAAAUGGGGCUACAGUUUUAAUAAUAUUCUUACUGAUAAUUUAAUUUGAAUACGAAGACCAUUGGGAAACUUGAACAUUGAGAAAGGCUAUUGGAGUUCCCGAGAUGGCGGUUUGAUCUAUUUCAAAUCUUCAAUAAUAUUACUAUUAUCAAAUACUUCUUUGAUUCUAUAGAUGUGUAAGUAUUAAUAAUUUAAUAUUUGACGAUGGAUCCAAAAGAACAGGAAUCGGAUUAGGGUUUCCUUAUGAUAUGAUUUAUUAAUAGAUUGGAAUGGGUUUUAAACUCUUAGAAGCAGGAUCUUUAUGUGACCUUUCAGAGUCAUAAAAAGCCUAAAUAGCUCUUGAUACUUACUUUAAGACCAUUAUGAGAUCAAACCAUGGAAAAAUAAACAAAUAGUAAAGCAACAAAUGCUUUUUCUUGGUCUAUACUUCAUUACUUCUCAUAUUAACUAAUAUCAUAUCCAUAAGGAAUAUUCGACUACACCUAUUAUUAAUUGUAUAAUGUUAGUUCAUAAUUUAUCUACAUUUGUGCAUAAACAAUUAAACAUAUCUCUGAUUAACAAUAAUAAAAUAUAUAGUACGUGCUAAUCUUGUUUUAAUCUUCUCUUAUAUAAGAUUAGGAUUGAUCAACCAAGUUUGACAUGGUGUCUUAGUCUUAUAGGAGUGAAAUUUUUAAUCAACCUUCCAAGGAUUCUUUCGUCUAUCCACGAUGACGAAUAGGUUGAAAUGGAAACAGAUUUCUUUCAGUUCUAUACGUGUUUGAUUUUAUUUUUCUUUUAAUAAUACAAAAUAAUUAUCAAUGAAACUAUUUAAAUAGUCUCAGAGCUAUAAAUGUAAUAAAGUAACAAUGUUUACUAAUUUUCUAAUAGCAACAUGAUGUUUCAUUAUGUUCUUUAAUUAUUUCUGCAAAACAAGUAUCAAUUUGGGAUUCAGCUAACGUUGAGUGCUAGCUGCUCUUCACAUUUGCACACAAUUUUGGGCUAAUGAGCCCGAAAAGUUUACGAAGAUGGACCAAGCCCGUUUAUAGCCCCCGAGGUUAAAAUUCCGAAAGGUUAAUUCCCAAAAACUUAAAGGUUUUGACGAUCUAAAUUUUGAUUUUAAUGAACGGAAAUAGUAAAUGACCUGAAAUAGAAAAAAAUCAACUAGAUAAUCUACAAUUUAAAGAUUUGCAGAAAAUCUUGGACGAUAAAACAAGAUACUAACAUUUCUCACAGAAUAAUUUUGCUAUAAUAAUUUAAAGUUCAGCUGCUAUAUUUUUUUUCCUUUGUUAAUUUCAUCUGCUAUUUAUUUGACCAAAUUAAAUAUGUUAUCUUGAUUUGUUAUCGUACGUCUACAUAGUCUCUAAUUUUAAAAAACAAUUGCCGUAAUUUUAGUUUUUAUUUAAUUGAAAUUUUAUUUACACAUGUAACAAAUAAAAAAAAUGAUUGAAAAGAAUAAUGUAUAUUAUUUUAAAGUCAUAACUAGUAACAUGUAAAAAAGUAGUUAUACAUCACUAUUUUAGGCAGUCAAUGGUAAUGAAAAAAAAAGAGCUUAUUUUCUAGACCUGCAUUGUUUAUAUUAAUUUAUACAUAGUUGAAAAUGAGAUUCAAACUAUGCUUUCAAUAAAUAGGUGAAGGAUCGAGGUCGAGGCACCAUCGAUAUAGAGUCAGCUCGUCCUUCACCACGGCAAUUUCAUGCCAACAUCUUGCUCAAAUGAGUAUUCCAUGGAGAGUGAUUGGUAACCUGCAAAAGAAAAAGAAACUUAAAAAGGUUUAUAUGUAUAAGGUUCACGUCAGUGUUUGAGUGACUUAAAAAAGUUUGUGUUAGUUAUAAAACUAAUAUCUCAUGGACUGACGUAAAGUUAAUUAACUCUACGUAAUUGUUGUUAAUAUCCUUCCCAUUUUUCAAUCUUACCUCAUUUAUACAAGUGUUGUUAAUUAAGUGACCGGCGGUUUUUUUUUUUUUGUAUAUAUGAGCAUGCAAAAUUACUAACUCUUACUACUAAACAAAAUCUCUUUACUGUAUAUAUGAGCAUGCAAAAUUAGUCAUUAUAUUUUAUUGUUAGUGAAACCUAAAUAAACCAGAACCAGUGAUAGUAAGUUAAUCAAUAUAAUCUGAAGGUGCGAAACAUCAGCACGAACCCAAAUUCGAGUUUUACGUAUUGCGGACGUUAAAGAUAAUGAACUGAUUUAUCAAAAAAAGAAGAAGAAAGAUAAUGAAGUGAAAAACAAAUUAUAAAAUAGAGUGAAUUUUUUGUCCAAAAAAAAAAGAGUAAAAUUAAUGUUAAAAAUAAAAAUAAAAAUAAAAAAUAGGUCAAAUAUUCUUUGUGUAUAAAAUAACCUAAACCAAAAUAUGGAUAAAAUAAUUAUUCCAGCAAAAGAGAAAAGGUAAGCUUUAACAAGAAAAAAAGAAUGUUAAAACGUUAACAUGCAUAAACUUUAAAAAAAUAGUAAUCAACUAAAAGGGUAGUGUUUACCAAGCUAAUACGAUCCGAUUCUUUCAACAUUUGUUUCUGUCUCGCUCUCUUUCUCGAUAUAUGAAUGAAAGGCAUCAUAUUUUUAUUUUUCUUAUUAAAAGAAACCUUUGGAAGAACUUAUAUAAAAAAUGAUCAAGUAGACUCUAUUUAAAUAGACAAAGUAAAGCUUACAUACAUGUGUAUGUAUAUACGUGUUUGGUAGGAAAUAACAAUUGGGGUAAAUCUAAGGUAGUAGAGAAUUAGACAUAUAAAUGUCUUUUAUUUGUUUUGGUGGUUGGGAUAUAUAUGCUCUAACCUCCAACAUUUUUUAAUACUAAAUUGGCAAUAUACCUUAUACAGUUAUACUCAUUGUAUUGUCAGCGGUUAUGUCUAAUCACAAUCAUAUACUAUAACAUAGUAUGUUCUCAUGCUAUCAAUUCACAAUUUCUUUGUAUAUAAAUCAAAUUUUUUGAUGAGAAAAUGUUAGUUAAUUUGUAGGUUUAUUCGAAAGAUUUUUUCUUUAAGAAAAAAAAAAAAAGAUCGUCAAACAAAAUGGAUGGAAUCACAUAUGCGAUGUAUGCUGCAGUGCCGGCCUUGAACAUACAUAAAUAUUUGAUAUUUUCAUGUAUAACAAGUCUUUUAAGGCUGGGCUUGUGGUUUUGAGAAUUUGGUUAUUACACGCUUCUUGCGUUUUGUAUUUUUUUGGGUCAUAAAAAAUUUCACCCAAAAUAUUAAAAUUUUGAAUUAUAUAUGGAUAGAUACACAGAUAUGUAAGCAAGUUCCAUUCAGGUAUCAAGUUUAGACUAAUCGUAAAAAAGACGACGCCAUAUAUUCGUAGUAAUUAAUAUACAUAUACCCCAAUUAACAGAAUUCGAUUUCAAGCCCCCACAAUCUAUUAGUAUAUGCUUAAUUCAUCUUGUGUGAUAGUUUGACGGGUUAUUAUGUAAAACGUGCAUGUGAUGAGUGCUUACUUAGCAGUCUUGACUCUCGAGCCUACACGUUUGUUGCGCGCGUAUGCAUGCAGCAUAUAUACACAUGUACGUAGAUGUGAAAUGCAUGCACUCAGGGCCGGCUCAACAAAACGUGGGACCCUGUGCUCAUUAGUUUUUUUUUCUAAUAUAUGUUUUAUAUGUUUAGAUUUUAGUUUAUUAUACACUACUGUUUGUAUAAUGGACCUUGAUUGCUUAAAGAAAAUGAAUGAAAAAAUAAAGGACCCUGUGCACUAGCACCAAGGGCACACCCUCUAAGCCGGGCCUGCAUGCACACAUAUAUAAUAUAUGUAUAUAACCAUCACGAUCGCGCGAUACUGUUUCUUAAGUAUGGUGACGUACGUAAUUGAUUACUUGAUGGUUCUACUACAUAGAAAGGAAAACAAAAAAUAAAUAUAAAUGGGUUGUUUCAUAAAAUCUCAAACCAAACCAAAACCUAACUUAAAUGUAGCUGAGUUAUCAUAUACCAUAUGGUAUAAAUUUUGGAAUGACUUUGUAGUUAUUUAUUGUAAUUUAGAAUGUUAUAAUUACUGAUCAUAAUAUUAAGUCAAAAACAUCGAAUCAAUAAAAAGCGACAUAGAUUCUUAGUAAUUAUACCGGCCAAAUAAUACUAUUAAACAAAAGUUACAAAAAAGGAUCCGUAUAUCGUGAAAAUCAAUCACAUGCAUCAAACAAUAGAAUGAAUUAAUUCACGCCGGAACAUCUACUUGGUUUGAUUUUAAAACUAAACCGAACCAAACAUAUUAAAAAUCGAAAUAAACCGACCAAAAACCAAAACCUUAAUUAUCCCUAAAUAAUUUCACCAAAAUAAAUAUAUUCAAAGCAACAUGCUUGUGUUAAGUAGCUUUUGAAACUCCAUAUUGUUCCAUUUACACUACGUUAUGAUAUUAACAAGACGAUAUAUGGGUUCCAGUUCCACUUACAAGUACAAAAAAGAGUUGUAGAAGCAUCAAAUCUAUGACAACUCCCCUUCAAAGUUCAAAGUUCAAAGUUAUGAAUGAUUAAAUUGAUCAAGUUUCACGUGGAGUGGUGGAUAUACUCACCAUUUAAUAUCUCAACUCUAUAUAUAUUUCUUAUUUAAAAAAAAAAAAGAAUUUAAACGCAUAUUAAAAAGCAUCGCAAGAGCUUUUUGCUUGGAUGGUUGUUGGGGAUUUCAACGCAACCAUCUCGCUAUCAGAUGCUUCCACUCCAAAUGUCACGCAUUACUCUCCAGCCACGGAAAUAUCUUUCACUUGUGCUUUUUGAAUAGUGAUUUAUUUAAUUUUGACUAUUUAAGGUCCCACUUGAUCAAAUAGAAAACCUAAUUGCGAAUAUGCUCUCUUUUAUUCACAAAACAGUGGCUAUCAAAUCGUAAAUAACUUGGUACAUUUAUCGUAAAAUAAUAUUACACUAUUCAUUUAAAUUACUUGUAUUAUAUAUCAUUUAUUUACGGUUUUUGUCACAAUUGUUUUCAUAUUAAUUUUGCUAUAUAAAUUUGGUUAUGUAGCUAAUAAGCAUAUACAAAAUAUUGUUUUUCAUUAAUCUGCAUUUCAUUUUGUUUUAUCCAAUCCGUGAUUCAUAAUAACACACUUUAGUUUUGGAGUUUCAUUGUUUCAAUAUAAGCUUCCUACUCCGAUCCUAAACAUAUAUAUCUUGAAGAGUUGGAGAAGAUUUGUUAUGCAUUCUUAUGGAAAUGAAUCACGUCUUCAACACAUGGAGUCAAAAUGACUUGAGAUUCUUAUUGCUUUUCAAAAUAAUGUGGAUGUCUUUGCAUGAGAAGAUUAAUCGAUUGGAAAAAGAUUUUCGUGUUUAAGUUGAUUCGACUCUUGUUUUGGGAGAAAGUUUGCUAUAUAUGUAUCACGGAUUUUCAAGAAUUUGAUGGAAGACUCUAUUUUCUAGGUUUUCAACUACCAAAACGUAGGUAGCUGGAUCAUUCAUGGUAUUCAAUUGACUGAUGAUCCUAGCUAGCAUUGAGCAUGUUUAUAACUUUUCUUUCCUCAAUAUAUAGUGUACUGUCUAUUUUACAUAAAUCUCCAAGCUCUCCACAGUUUUUGUCAUUCAGAUAAAAAGUUUUAUCAGAAUAAAAUUUGUAGAGGGUGGGAAUCUUUGUUGAUGAUAUAAUUAAAACAAACAAUUUUUUUUUGGCAGGUGGAACAAAAACAAAAUAAACAACUCUGUUUGAUUGCAACUACACAAUAAAAGUUCUAACCAAAAAGGUAUGUAAAAUGAUUUUAUUUUAAGAAAAAAAAAAUGAUUUUAUUUUAUUUAUUUUGGGAAUAAAUCUACCAAAUAUUAAAUGUUAGAAUGUUGAUGGCAACGGAACCAUCCACGCGGCAAUGAACAUGGCCUUUCAAAAAUUAGGUUCUUUUUUUUUUUUGAUAAUUGGAAAACGGCUUACAAAUUCAUACUAUAACAUUACAUAGAAUAUAACUAUAUAAUAUAAAAAUGAAAUGAAUACUAAGCUGUUAAGAAUACUUUAUUAAAAGAUAAACAUCAAUAUUGAAAAAAAAAAAAAAACAAAUCAAGUUGAUUGUGGAAAGAGAAGAUUAGACAAGAACCGAAACAGUCGGCCAUAAUUAAGCAAUGGUUAACUUUUAAUCUUUUAGUGUUGUGGAUUUUGAAAACACUACUCGGUCUUAAGCAGUUCAAUUGUGUUACAACGAUGUUACGUGCCCUCUUACAAAAAUUGUGUUAAGACGAUGUUCACGUUUUUCGAAAACUAAUCCAAUGUGAAAUGAUGAAAUAAAUCGAACUAUAAAUUUGUUUGGUUAUAUGACUAGUACUAUAAAACAAAAACUUGCUUGCUUAUAUCAAUAGUAGGGGGGAAAUCGUGAUACACUUUUACUGAAAAUGAUCUUUCUUUUCUUUUUUUGUUCUUUCAAUGCAAAUUUUGUAACAUGUUACAUUUUCGAAUUCAUUUUUUCUAAAUGUACUUCUCAAAUAAUAUUGGUACUAGUAGAACAUUACCAGAAAAUUUUAACACGAUUAUCAACACGUUUUAUUCGUAGUUAGUUAGGCUUAAGCAGCACGUUGAAAAAUACAAGUAACUAACUACGAAUACAUGAUCUACGAAAAAUGUUUGUUGAACUAAACGAAAAGUUAUCAACAUAGAGUUUUAAACACAUUAGUAGCAAGACAAUGGACAAAACCCGUACCGAGGCACUCUAGUAGUUUGCGUGUAAUAAAAAACACAAGACGAGAAUCCACUACUACGUUACAAAAGUCUUGAGAUUUGUUUUUUUUUUCAAUCAAAUAGAAAACGAUUAUAAGCAGAGAGACAAGAUCUAAUGGUUUUAGCUAGACAUCAUCACAUUGUCAAUAGAUUGUAGAGCUUGGUUUGCGAAAAACCUGACAUCAACAUCUGGAUCCUCGCUUAGCUCCACAAGCCCAGGACGAAUCGUCUUCUCCACAACCUUUUUUCACCACAAAACCAAAAUCAAACAGAGCUGUUUUCAUAACAAACUAAUAAACUAAAUGGAGUUGGCGAUGCACUUACCGAUUGAUCAACUAUUGGAAUGAGGGAUUGAAGUACUUUAGCGACGUUGAAUUUGAUGUUUGGAACUCUGUAGUAGUGAAAGAGUUGUUUAUUUACUUAAUAUGUUUGAAGUACAAUGAUUUGAGUAUUAACUAUUUUACAGUGAGAACUUGCCUGUCUUUAGAUGCAGUCAUUACUACAGGUAAGAGCUUAGAGCAUGUAAUCUCUGAGCCCAUUACAGGUGCAAGAAGAGACACCGCACGCAAAAUGGUCAUUCGGUAGAGAUAGUGAGGGUUGUUAACCAUCUCAAGAACCUGCGGAUUAAUGAAUAGCGACUAAUUAACACUAACAAGAUAGACACUGACUUUUCUAAAGUUGUAAAAAUUCUAGACAAACCUGAGGAACUAUAUGUUGCAUUGCCCAUUCAGGACCAAAUUCCUCAGCAAGCCGCUUGAGAUUGUUAGCAGCAGCAUCGCGGAUUGAGUGAACCUAAUGAGAGCAUCCGCAAAAAAAAAAAAAAAAAAAAAAAAAAAAAAAAAUCAAUUUCUAUAAAUAAGAAGCGGUAUAAUCUGAUCAUUCCCAGUAAAAGUAAGAGAGAGAAAGAAAUACCUUGUCUUGUAACCAUUGCAUGCAAAGAGCACCAAGCUUAUCGUCAAAGAAGCCAACACCUAACUGACUUGCCAACAAAGGGAUAUACUCGAUUAUAGCAAGUCUUACUCUCCAGUGUCUAUCUUCAGCAAGUUCUACAAUAGCUGGCAACAAGGAUUGUGAUAGUAGAUCAAUCCCAAUAACCUGCCACAUAUAAAAUAUAGAAGUCAUCAACUGAAUAUGGAUGGGCGAGAAAGGCAAGUUAAAAGAGUGAAAGUCUUUUAAACAAAACAUGUUAUCAUGAAGCCAUUGGCAUGAUCUGGUUUGGGUAUUUCUGUUGUAACAAACCUGAUUCACUUGGUCAAGUUUGCUGAUAAUGUUCAAGCGUACAUCCGGGAACUCAUCUUUCAAUAGAGAAAGAAAGAUUGGAAGGAGAUGCUCAAUUGUUGCAUCCUAAAAUAGAAAAAACAACGUGAAGUUAAAAUCUGCAACAUACACAAUCCAACCAAAACAUCCUGUAUAAGAAACGCACGUCAAUUAAACUCAUUUUUGUACAAUUGGUAACAACCUAAGUAUAUUUCUUCUUAAUGAUGAAAGAGCACAUGAGACGCUUCAGACAUCAGGACGAAAAACAGUUGGACAUAGUCAUAAUCAUUAAGAUGCUAAAAUGAAUUUGUGCAUUAUGAACCAACACAUCUCUGUUUGCAAACUCUCUUACCUUACCCAAGACUGGAGCCAUUCCCAUUAUAACUGAGGCCAAUGCAGAUCUGACAUGCUGAGAAGAGUCUGAUGAUAGCUCCUACAGGUAGCAUUAAGAGGAAUCAUCAGUAAUAUGCAACAACUAUACGUUGAUUUUCUGUAAGGAACUUGGAAAACAAUUGAAUUCUCUUAAGCAUGUACCUUCACACAGGGGAGAAUGUGCUGGAUAGCAAUUUCAGGGUUUAGAAUCCGACAAAACUUUGUAACUUUUCCGGCAGCUGCUAUGCGUACUUCAGCUUCAUUAUCACGAAGUAGGCGCACAUAUGCAGGCACCAGCUCCGUCCUUAAAAUAGAAGACACAGUAAAUAGUAUCAAGAGGAAGUAAAUGGGAUCAUCAAGUUCCUUAAGCCUAUUGGAUGAUAUGCAUUUCUAUAUUGAACAUUAAAUUAGCCCAUCAAAGGUAUUAAAACAUGCUGCAUUAGGUUUAUGCAAAACGUUCUUACCUAGUAGGCUCAGGUCCCACGGCUUCACAAAGCUCGUAGAGUUGAUUUGCAACCAUAUAGCGCACACGCCAAGACUUAUCCUGCUCAGUGAAAAAGUACAAAGAUUAAGCAUUUCUUUUAAAUGUAGAUCAUCAGCAUAAAAGCCUACAGACAUAAUCACCUGCGAGAAAUUAACAAUCACGGGAAGAAUGUGUUGGACACAAUCCUGAGGCUCCAACAAUUUCCCAAGAGCAGCACAACCCUCAACGGCCAAUAAUCUAACAGAAUCUUGAUCUGAUAUGAAAAAAACGUAAGAUGAAAUUCGACAAAUAUAUAUGCUGUAGAGUAAAUAAACGCUCAGUGUUCAAUACCAUCUUGAGUAAGAUCCUCAAACAUGGACAUAACGUCGGUCUUCAAAUGCGCUGAUUCAACCGUAGCAGCAAAUUUCCCAAGAUUAGUUGCUGCAGCUCUCCUUACCAUCGGCAUAUCAUCCUGACAAAGCUGAGUAUACAACGAUCUUAACUCAGUCUUCAACAUAUCCGGCGCGCUCGGGUAUGCAAUAUGGAAAACACCGCAAGCCGAUACUCUAGCUGUGAACCACUCACCAGCGGCAAGUCGCUUAACUAACGAAAUGAAAUGAUCAACCAAGUCACUCUCCCUCAUCUGAGAGCCAACUCUACAAAGCGACUCAACAGCUUUCUCCCUAACACAAGUUUCUUCGACAGUCGAAAGAGUUUCCAAAGGUGGAAGAAGAACAUGUGCAUACUCAACACCACCAACAUAAGGAAUAAACACACCCAAUUCUUCAGCCAUUGCUAAUAAAACCUCAUCAUCAUCGUCAUUGUUUUCGCUAAGGAAAGGGAUCAAUUCCUUUCUAGUCCUCUCUUCCCCAAGAGCACGAGCGAUCGUAGAAAGCCUUCUGAUGGAAUUCAAUCUUAGCUGAAUAUCAUCGUUUUUUAACUCGUCUAUAAGUACGGCGAUUGGGUACAACGGCUCAUCGAUCAUAGACAUCUUCAACAACACCAACAACAAAAUUACAGCAUAAUUAUAACGAGAUCGUAAAAUCAAUUUCCAGAGCCCAAUUCUCAGGAGAUGAUCAAUUAGGCGAAUCUAAAUUACCAUUUCUAUCAAAAGAUAAACAGACCAACAAUCAAAUCGGAAAUUGGGUCUUACCUCAACACAAACACGGCUCAAUUUUCUCCUCAACGAAACACAAAAUUUCGUUCGACCUACGAAGAAAAAAAAGAGGAUCUAAUGGCGAAAUGUCUCUUUUCUUUAUUGAGAGCAAACGACGACGUCUUUAUUUAAUUGGAACCAUACCCUUCUUAAAUGGGCUUUAACGGGCCUUUUGGCCCACGACGUUUAUGCUGUUUCGGUCAGGACUUUACUUUUGCGAUUCAUUUCUUGCAAUUUACCAAUUUUAUAGAGUUUUCACUAUUCCUUCGUGAAAUAUAAAUUCAAAUGUGGAAAAAACAUUACCGAUACAAAUGAUAGAAUUUUCUAAAAAUGACAUAACAAAAUUUCCAUAAUAUAAUUACAUUUGUUAUAAGUACAACGACAAUAUGUGUGUAUACUAACAAAUUAAAUUGAUUCAUCUUCGAGAUUGAGAAACAAAUGAUAUGCAAGUAAACCAAAAACAGGAACAAACCUUAGAUACUUCACCAAUUCAAUCUUGUUCUUCUUCACAUUUUGCAGGUUCUCUCCAAUCAACCAUGGCUGAAAGAUUGUGUACAGACAUAUAUCCCAUAUAAACGCGUAAGCUAGUCUCUCCGAUCCCAAAUAACCAAUCAGAUACUGCCAUCUGUCCAUGAUUCCACCGAAAUCACCAUCUGCUCGACCGUAGAGAGACCACAAUGCUGAUAUCAGACACACCGUAGCUCCGGUCAGACCAACUAUUGGUGCACCUUUGGUCAUCACUUCACCAAGUUGAGACCUUUUGCUUGGUUUAUCAUCUGGGUCAGCGUCAUUGAGCCGUAAAGCCAUGUAUGGGAUUAGAAACGCUGUUUGCAACAUGAGAUCAACAGAACCAAUAAUCUAGUUUAGAGGGUUGCUUUCCAGAGAAACUGAACUUCUUAAAUAAAAACUAAAGUUGUAUUUACUGUUUGUAAGGAACAUCAUGAGACUCCAUAAGACGUCAAGAGAGCUUUUGUAUCGAUUUCUCUUUCGGUCUGUGUAUAGCAAUGGAGCAAACAUGAGUGUCCAAGCUAUUACAAAGUUGAAUAACCCUUCAGCCAUCUGUUGAAUUUAAAAAAAAAAAAACAAUUUCAGAACGAUUUACUUUCACUAAUACACAAAAACCUGUUCAGCUCAAAGGUACAAACCGGGUGAAGAACAGGAGCUUGUAAGAAGUGAAUACCAGCUGUUCUGUCACAAAGUCCAUAAGCAAGAAACUUUCAUCAAAGAUCAAACAGGUAAACGAAAUCGAUAUAUCUUAAGGCUGAACAUACCGGCGUUUGUAAGAGGCAAGACAAAGAAGAAAUUCAGAGAAAGUCCCAAAAGAGAAUUCACUGUCUCUGAACUAAUUGCCCAAACUGGAUCUCCCUGUUGAUCAUAGAGAUUAUUUUCUAAUUAAGCAACCAUACAAGAUUACACAAUCUAAGAUAAUGCUAACCACAAGCACAUAUCAUGAUAAUCUAUAGAGAGAAGAGCAAAUCUCAGUAAUAAGUUGAAGAUAACAACAAAACUAUUCGAUUCUCAAAGCAUUCAAGCAGAGAAAUUGAAAAAGUUCUCAUUCCUAAAAUCAUCCAAAAUCCAAAUUACUUUUGAAGAUUCAUCAAUGUGAUGCUACAUAAACCUUCCAAACAUUCACAUAAUCCAUAGAUAAAUUAGUAGCCACAUAGAACUAUGGCUAUAUCAGGAACUAUGAGUAUGAUUCAAAAAGAACAAACCUACUAGAUUCUCAAAACAUUCAAGCAGAGAAAUUGAAAUGGUUCUCAAUUCCUAAAAUUAUCCUAAAUACUUUCAAGAUUAAUCAAUGUGGUGAUUCUACAUAAACCUUAGAAACAUUCACACAGAUAUAUCAAUGUCUCAAUCUCAGGAACUAUGAAUACGAAUUUUUGAAGGUAUUAUCACUCACAGGAGCGUAAGGGAGAAGAAAGAGCCAUAGUAUAUACACAGCUUCACUAGUCCAUAGAAGAUACCGAACAAUUCUCCUUAUAGAAUCAUCUUCAACCUCUACCGUCGCCGUCUCCGGUUUCCGGCGAGCACAGCAUAAGAAGGAACUGUCUCGUGUUCGUAAUUUGAAACGAUUCGUAGACUGCCAUGGAUUGUAGCAGCGAUCGACUGUGGAGAUUUCUCUACUCCGAAGAAAAUGGCGGCGAAUUUGUGGCGAUUUGAUUUGGGAACUGUGGAGACGGUGACGGAGAUAUGUCAACGUCGGUGAGGUUAUCAGAAUCAUCGUCGUCCCUUCACUGCAUUAUCCACCGUUUAGUCGGAGAAUUUUUUUUAUUUAUCUGAGAGAGACUUGCUAAAACGGCAGCGUAUUGGUUAUCUAAAUUUGAAAGCAACGACGUCGUUUUAAUUGAAUCGAAUUACACAUUACAGUUGGCUUUAAACAGGCCAUUGGCCCACGGCCUUAUAAAACGCCGUUUCGGUGAGACACUGAAAUUGGAUAGUCACAUCAUUAUUAUGGGUGCUAAGCCAAAUAUCUUUUUCAUCAUUAUUAUUCGACAUUCCUCAAUUUUCGUCAACUUCUUUUAACAACCCCAAAAUCAUGGUUAUAUAACUUUGCUUUAUAUCUAGAGGCUUAGUUAAAUAAAUAAAUAAAUUCAAAAUUAAAAGAACAUUGAAUCAUGUAGGCAAGAUUCAAUUUCAACUAUUUUGGUUAAUUUUAUUAUUUAUUUUCAUUUAAUUAUUGUGGAACGUAUGAUUUAUUCAUGUAGAUAGUUUUCUAAUCUCAUUAGAAUAUCUUAUCAUAUAAUUUAAGUGUGGACCAAAACAUAAUUUAUUUCUUCUACGUUAUUUCUCUUUUUUUUUUGUGUGCAAAAUACUUGUAUUCAUUCAAUCAAGAAAGAACCAAAUACAAAGAGAACUGACUUAUUUCUCUAUAUGUAAAUUAUUGAAGAAAUUAUACCUUUUAAAAAAAUAAAAAUGUAUCGAGAUACAUUUAAAUUUCUGUUGUAUGUAAUGUGUAUACGUGUAAUCCAAUUUCUUGGGAUUCUAUAUAAUUAUUUAUGUUGUUAUGGUCUGUACAAAAAUAUCACAUGCUUAUAAUAUAAGAGAUAUUUCUUUUAUACGUAUGUAUUCUUUUAAUGGUUUUUAAUAUAGCAAUAUUAAGAUUCAUUGUUCAUCUAAAUAAGUUUUUAUUAGUUAGCGCAAAAAUAAAAACUCGUUUGGAGAAACAAAAAAUGGUUAAAGCGAUUAAAUAUUGUUUUUCAAUACAUUAAAAUUGUUUGCCAUCUUCUAAAGUUGUUUACUCACUUCAGAAUACAUAUGAUACUCUCUAAUGGGAAGAAUCCCAUGAGCCAAAACCAAUUGUCUUUGGAGUAGAAAAAACUUAUAGAUCUUUUUGUGGAAUCAUAACCCUAGAUUCAGUAGGGUUUAUUGAAAAAGGAAAAGAUAAUACAUAUCCUAACAAGACAUAUCCAAACUAAUCCACAAAAAAACUAGACGAUUCGUGAUAUAUUGGAGAUAUCAAAUGUACGAUGUGGCUUCGAAUUCCUGCCAAAUUCAAAGGGAUCUAAAAGGUCUUUAAUGAUUCUUCAUAUGUCAUGAAUUUCUACUACAUUGGGAUGAAAGUAAGUUAGUUAGUUUUUAUUUGUUUGCUUUUCAUUUUUGCUAAAAUUUUUGAUGAAUUUUAUCAAAUAUAAAACACAGUAGCGUAGACUAUAUUGUUAAAUUUUUUUUGAUGAAUUUUAUCAAAUUUAAAAAUACAAUAGCGUGAUUUUGAGAAUAAAGCCUAUAAUUUUCCUUCAUACGGCUUAUUGAGUAUACAUUAGAACUAUAUUUUUUACAAUAGGAUAACAUAGUUCUGAAAUGAGUAAAUUGAAAAGAGUUUUUGAAUUGAUUGAAGUAUGAUUCUGGUUGUUUAGAAAAAAAAAAAAAAUUAAUAAAAGAAUUAAACCAUUAUGUGUGAACUGUGAAUCCAAAUAUUGUUCUUUUUCUCACUUUUAUUAGUUAAUCACUGAUAUAUCUCAUCAAUCAUAGAUAUUGUUUGCAAAAAUACUUAAACCGUUUUGUGUACAUUACGAUCACAAAACAAGAGAAUCACAUAACCUUUUUUUCAAACUAACUUUUUUUAUUAAGUUGAAUCAAAUAAGUUUACUUCUAUAUUAUUUAAUUAUAUCUCUCUACAACAUUUAAAAACCAACACGUAAAUUCGUAUUAAAAUAAUAUGGAAAUUGUUUUUUCAAAAUCCUCUACACAUAUAAGUUAUUUGAAUCAUUAAAACGGAGUUACAAACUUUUUUUCUUCGAU